rnacentral:lncRNA from 1 species
UGGCUCUGUGGUCUUGAAACCUGGGAAGAUCAUAUCUUCUUUCUUCCCCAAGUGGCUUGUCAUCUUCACAUACAUCCCUAGACCAUGUCAUUUCCAUCUUAGCCCUAUCCCGAUAUUUAUUUCUUAGGAAUAUUUUUAUUAAAGGAAUUAUCCUUUUUGCCCUAGGUUGUGAAGCAACCUAUAUUUCUGUCAUUCCAAAAAUUCCCACAAAUUUCCUUUGGACCAUAUGGACCUUGGAUAUGUAAAAAUAUUCAAUAUUGCAUGCUCAUGGUGAGCACACCAUCCAAUAUUUGCUUCUUGUUAGAUUUUUAGUUUCUGAGGCAAUUAUAUUUUAUAUUGCUCCAUAAUUGCUAAAAAAUUACCAGGACCUUCUCCUACCUAUACAACAUCCCUCCAUCAAAUUUGGGCUCAUUUCAUUCAUCCAAUAUUUCUCUAGCAUUUUUCCAAGAUUCUGCCCAGAGAGGACCACUAUGAAAGAGGUGCUGUUUUGGCAUGUCCAAAUGGUAUGAAAUUUUACAGCGCCUUCAUAUGCCCCAAUGAUCAUCCUCCUUCAAAUUUCAGCUCAAUCCAAUCAUCCAUUUGAGAACAGCUUCAACAUUUCUACUUUUGUCCAGUGGGGUACAUUGUGAAGCAAGUGCUAGCUAAACUCCUCCAUUUGAGCUGAAACCUGGCCUCGGUGAUCAUCCCAAUAUAUGAUCAACCCCAGAAAAAACUCAGCAUCUUUCACCAGGCCAAUCUCCCCCACCCUAAUACAAACACCUUCAUGUUGCUUUGUCUUCUACCAAGCUCUAGUCACCUCAUUGUCGGUGUCAAAACCGGAAGAUCUCGGAUAGGGGGGCCCAAGUUGUGCGUCUGAGGACCAAUGGUAACUAUGGACAAAGGACACAGUGUUUACCCAGGUUCGGGCCCGCUUAAUGGAGGUAAAACUCUACUCCUUCUUGAUUAUAUUCGAGGGUAUAGGGGUUACAAGAGUUGAUCUGCCUCGAGAUCGAUUCGGCUAACCCUAUAUUAGCUAGCCUAGCAAUGUUGUGAUCCUGCCUCCGAUCUACCCUCCGGUUUAUAUAGACACCAGAGGUGCUUAGGGUUGUACAAAGUUGGUUUUACACAAAGGAAUAAGAUAUCCGGACACCUAUACUUGCCAUCCUCGCAUACGGGAGUCCCCACAGGACACGAGAUAUAAUCUUCUGUCUUGUAUCUUGAAGGCCCAUCAGUGCGGCCCACAUCAAUAGACCAGACACCUGAGGACCCCCUAGUACAGGACUCCCACAUUAGCCCCUGAACCAGUCUUCAAUCAUGAUAUUAUUCGGCAUUCAAAUUGUCUUCGGCAUUGCAAGGCGGGUUCCUUGAAAAAUACACAUCGGCUUACCUCUGUAAAAGAAUUGUAUUCGGCUUUUCAUAAUAAACACAACCCUUAGCCGCGAAGGCAGGAUAUAUAUAAAAAUAAGAACAGUGUCUUUUACUGACAACUUUUUUGAUGAAGCGUCAGACUUGACCCUUCAGCUUUUUGAACUAUUUUUUCGCACCUCGCACUCCGUGUUUCGAGGCCACGCCUCGCUGGCACGUCCUGUCAUCGUGCCCACUUAAUACGGGGUUGCACAUCAAUGGUAUAUGGGUAAUCCAACCGACUGCGGCGCAUACCCACAUUGGGAACAAGUGAGGUUUUAAGGCUAGGGGGCAGGCGCAUGGUAUUCACGGCCUAUAUAAGCGUAUAAAGACCCAUCUUUUCUAUCCCACGCCUUCUUCCUCCCUCUGCCUUCCCAUCUGCGAGCUCCAGUGCCCAAGCUUCGAUCUUCCCCACUGCCACCAACUUCUCUAGCCAUGUCCGGAUCCGGCUCCCAAGGCAAGUGGGUGGCCUCCUCCGUGAAGGAGAAGGACAUCAAGGAGCUCCGGGAGGUAGGGUACCUGAGUGCGGACAUUACGCAUAGGAUCCCUGCCAAGAAGCAGGUCAUCCCCACUCCAGAGCCCGACGGAAGGGUGGUAUUUAUCCCCCACUUCCCCCACGGACUAGGGUUUCCACCUCACACUUUUGUCCGCGGCCUCAUGUUUUAUUACAGGCUAUAUUUCCAUGAUCUAGCCCCAAACUCCUUCCUCCAUAUCUUGGCGUUUAUCGUCGUGUGCGAGGCACUCCUCCGCACUCCCCCCCACUUUGUCUUAUGGCUCAAAGUCUUCAACGUGAAGCCGAAGGUGGUUGACGAGUAGCAUGCAGAUUGCGGAGGUGCUAUGGUGAGCAAACUCCCCAAUGUCACCUGGCCCAAAGGGGCCUUCAUGGAAACUGUCAAGAUAUGGCAGCAGGAAUGGUUCUACAUCACCGAACCCCGCGGCGCUGACUGGGCGGCCACUCCUGAGUUUAAAUCCGAACCCCCGAUGCGGCUCGCGUCGUGGAUCAACAAGGGUCUCGACUGGGGUUCGAUCGACGAGGUGUUGAUGCUGCAAAAGCGCAUCAAAAAUAUUAUAGAAAAGAACACCAGCCUCACUGACAUGAUCCAGGUGAUGUUAUUCCGUUGGACCCUUCCCUGCCAGCGCCAGCCUCUCCAUAUGUGGGAGUUCAAUCCAGAAGGGCCGCAAACCUUGCAGUGAUUCUUUGGCACGACGCACAAAGAGAUCUGGAAGCUGCUUUUCAAAGCCCAAAAGUUGUGGCCAGAGACGACCGACGACAUCAGCCUCGACUGUGCCCACCCGGCCACCCCGGUAAGUUUUCUAGUUUCUGAACAUAACUUAGUUCAGAAAUCACACGGGUAUGUUGACACUUCCAUCCUUUAAUCAGGGCUGGACGAAGAAGGUGGAGCAGACCAAGUGUCCGAAUCCGCUGCCUGAAAACCCAGCUGAUCCUCUGCUGACAAGGAUGCUGGUCCCGGCGCCGUACCAGGCGCUGGAUAAGAAGGCCAAGAAAAAGGGCAAGGAGGCCAAAAGCGGCCCCUGGCGUAAAGGUACUCUGGACGCUGUGUCCGGGGAUUCUGAAGCUCUCUUCUCCCAUGAAGGAGAUGAAGACGAAAAGGAGGAUGAGGGAGAGAGAGAUUCUCCCCUUAAGGGGAGGAAGAAGAAAAGAGCGACCUCCAUAGACCCAGAGGCGAAGGCUUCCAAGAGGGGAAAGAUAUCCCUCUCAGGCGACUCGGAUUCGAAUGUCGAAGCCAUCCCCGAGCAGUGCCCCAGGUUGAAGCCCCUGGCCGAUUUGUAAGUAUCCAAGGAUGCCUUACAUAUAUCGACAUUUAUGAUUGCAGUUUUCAAUACAUUAUAUUGUGUGUUUCAGUCCGGCCCGCGACCUCCCCCAACUAUCAUCAUCUCCGGGGAAUUCGCUGGAGCCGGGGAUGGUGGAGAGCAAGACGCCUCCACGGGCCUCUCCGCCAACCGCUACAGACGACACCGAAGUUUUGUCCCGAAGAGCCUUUCCGGGCCAUGGAGAGGUGCAGGAGGCUGCCAAGACGGUACCAUAGGGUAGUCCCUCGGCUGCCGAGAACAUGGGGGAACCAACCCCCAUGGAGACUGACGACGGGGACCAUGACCAAUCCGGCCCCCAGCCGAACACUAUUCCGGAGACCCACACGGCUCCGGAAUCGAGUGAGCAACCCCCUUUUAAGGAGGGCGGAGUGUCAACUCCAUCGGCGACCUUCGUCAAUCCGGAGGCGUCAGACACUUUGGUGGAAGCACUUCGUCGUGCUUCCGUCGUGGAGGAGCACCGUACCCUGAUGGGUAUGGUGGUUGAGAAGAUUCAGUCUGCCAAAAGCGGGCUGAAUGAAGCCUUCACCAGCCUAUUAACAGGCUUUGAGGUAUGCAAUGUAAUUUUCUAACCAAUUUUAAUAAAGGAAUAUGCCUGUGUAUAGAUAGUAGCCCCUGAGACUCCGUCCGGCUUGGCGAAGCCGGACAGAGGACCACAUAGUGUUUGGAAGAGGUGACAUAUUACUAUAUUGUACAACAGGCUUCCUUGCUGGCGGCGAGCGCUCAGGCCGCCGCAGUUUCUGAACUCACUCAGAAGCUGCGUCUGGCUGAUGAAGAAGUAGUCCACAUCAACAAGCGGUUUGAGGAGACGCAAGGUACGCGUGCAUUGAGGAGUUUGAUCAUAUAUCUCCAAUGGUAUAUCCGAAAAUUGUAUAUGUGUUAGUCGUUUUAAACUGACUAAAAUGUUAUAAAUAUACUCGCAGUUGGACACGACGAAGUCGAGUCCCUCAAGAGUGCCCUCGCCAAAGCCAAGAAGGAGGCGGAGGCGAGCAAGGGGGCCAUGGACAAAGCGGCCAAAAAUCUAGAGGAGGAGCAAACCACCCGCUGACGACAUGAGGCACGGGUGGGGUAGGUCGAAAAAGAGCUCAAGGACGCCAUCGCUAGAUGCGAGUUUUUGGAGAGGAAGAGUUCGGAGCAGGCCUUGGAGCUCACCAAAGCUCUUGAGAGCCUGAAGGAAGCCCGGGUUGAUGCCCAGGGUGCUCGACAGGAGAUCCAAGAGGCGAGGCGGAUUGCGGCUGGUAAGGCCUUUAUCAUGCAGAGUAGAUAUACUAGUAGGAGAUAUAUUUUACUAACUCGAGUUCGGAGUUCUCCAGGCGCCUUUGCGGAUCUGCCGAGGAGUAUUGCGGAUGCUGCUGCAUUCUUUCGAGCCGAAGAGGGGAGCUCAAUGGAGAAGUUGUUCUGGUUGCAGUACCUUGCACCAGAGCUUCCAGUGCCCCUGAGCGACCAGCUGAAGCAGCUAUCCAAGCUGCAUAGGGUGGUCGGACUGGCCAUGAAGGAUGUAAUAGUCCGUCUAUGGCCGGCAGAGGCCAUACCUAGCAUCCACUUCGGACUCGUGAAGAGACUGGUGGAGGCGCUUCCUCGAAUCGAUGCCCUUAAGCGGUCGUCCUGUAUUGAAGGUGCCCGGAUGGCCUUUGCCCGCGUCAGGGUGCAGUGGGCGAAGAUGAAGGCCACCAAGCUUGACACUGCAGGGCCGCCUGAGGGCAAGGAGCACCGGCGGUCAGGGAGGUACUUGGACGAGGUCCUCGAGGGAGCCCGUAUUGUAGAAGGCUAGUGCUCCAAGGACAUCAUAUUUGAGUAGUUGUGUCCAGUUUGUAAGAGUCAUGCAAUGAACUCAUGAUGUAAAAAAUGGUUAUGCUUUUUAUGAUUAGUUUAUCCUCCUCUUUUUGGCCAUUUAUAUGUCUGAAAGUUUACCAGUCGUCGGCUUCAGCCCCCACGUAAAUAUUACAGGGGUGUUCGGGAACGCAUGACGACACUUUAUCCAACAUCUUGGUCCGAUGUAGGAGGCAUCUUGCGGAGUGAACUAGGCAAUUAGAAUAUGCGGCUUUAGUACUUUCACUUAGCCAUAAGAGUCCAUUGGUGGCGCUAAGUACUAGCCCCUCAUUGCAUGAUUGACAAUCCGGAGUGCGGCGCCUUUGCAACACGGCUGGUCAAAAACCCAGCCCCUCGUAUAACAUGACAUAAAUCGUGAAUGAUUCGUAGUAUAACACUAAGUCACUGGAUCGCUGACCCGCUCUCGCUUAUCAUGAUACUCAGUUUUCGGCUUUCUCUACUGAGGUACUUGACCGGACGAACCAGAAAUACAAUCGCAAUAGUUCUCCCUUUACUACCUUAGCCGAACUUGUAGAAUGUAAGGCGGUAAACACAGGAGCCGGGUAACCCAACUGUAGACCAAAGACAUGAUUCGGAGCUAAUGCAUAUAAUGCAAUAUCUGAGAUGCCGAAGAGUUCCCUAUAGGUUUUCGGACUUCAGAAUUUUGCGGGGCCAAAUACAGCCCCUGGUAUGAAGACUGUGUCGAACCACGUAUGUCAGUCGAACGUAAGGGGGGCGCAGAUGACAAGGAAAAAAACCAAAACCCAACCAAGAAGGUGGUAAUUAUCUACGCCCUUUAUAUCUUUAUUGAUACGUUGAUGACAGGCAAUGUCGUUCAAUAUUAAGGUCAUAUUACAUGCCCAAAGAGAAAAAGAAUAGAUUUUACAUGAGGGAAAAUCUAACACAGGGCCUAAAAAUCAUAGUUCGGAAAAGAAACUCCAAUGAUGCCCUGCCGCACGUCGCGCCUUUUCUCCUCAGUAGUGAGUCCUUUGAGAGGAGUAUUUGAUGGUUGAGAUGCGCCAGCCUUAAAAGGAUCUCCCGCGACAAUCAUCUCGCAAGUAGGGCUCUUGAUGAACCUGCUUUAAAAGGAAAAAAAAAUAUAUGCGGUCCAACUAUGGUCAAGACAUGCAAUGGACCUCUUCCGUAGUGUGCCUCCGGCGCCGCCCAAGGUAUUUUUAGUGCGUAAUUGUGUACCCGUGGUACAUAAGCCGCAACCUGAUGGGGCGAUCGGCCGAACUGCUAAUCAAUAUCCAGAUCCAUUGAUUUAUCGCUAUUAUGCACGGACCGUACUCGUUUGGAUACAUCAUUGGCUUUAUUGGCCGGUGAACUGUUCAGCUUGAUAAGGAUGCCAGAUACUACGGCAGCCAGGGCUGUGGUGUGCUCUUCAGUAUGGAGUGAGCAGUCCAUAUUACCAAUGACUGUAAUAACACCAUGAGGUCCAGGAAUUUUAAGCUUCAAGUAAGCGUAGUGCAGGACCGCAUUAAAGCGGGCGAAAGCAGCUCGUCUGAGCAGUGCAUGGUAGCCACUACGGAAGGGGACGAUGUCGAAGAUUAACUCUUCGUUGCGGAAGUUAUCUGGGGAGCCGAAUACUACCUCCAGUGUAAUUGAGCCCGUACAACGGGCCUCCACUCCUGGUAUCACACCUUUAAAGGUAGUGUUACUAGGCUUGAUUUGUGAUGGGUCGAUCCCCAUCUUACGGACGGUAUCUUGAUAGAUCAGGUUGAGGUGCUUCCUCCGUCCAUAAGGACUCUAGUGAGGUGCUAUCCGAUAAUGAUUGGAUUAAGAACCAGGGUGGCCGAAUCCCCAUGAUGGAUACUGGUUGGGUGGUCCCUGCGAUCAAAGGUGAUUGGACAGGCUGACCAUGGGUUAAACUUGGGAGCGACAGGCUCUACAACAUAGACGUCCCGUAAUGCGCAUUUGCGCUCCCUUUUGGGGAUAUGAGUGACAUAUAUCAUGUUGACUACCUUCACCUUGGGGGAAAACUGCUUCUGAUCCCCGGUGUUUGGCUGACAGGGCUCGUCAUCGUCUUUGCUUGGAGGCACUUUUCCCUUGUGUUUAGUAUUUAUCUUACCAGCAUGUUUGAAAACCCAACAAUUUCUGUUGGUGUGGUUCACAGGCUUAUCGGGUGUGCCGUGAAUCUGGCAGGGCCUCUCAAGGAUCUUAUCUAAGCUGGAUGGUCCGUCUUUAUUGCCUUUGAAAGGUUUCUUAUGCUGACUGGACUUAGGACCAUUGAAUCCAGCGUUGACUAUCGUAUUGUCUGUGUCAUCGUGAUUGUUGUUCUAACAUUUGUUUUUAUUGUGGUGAGGUUUACCGUUGCCGUCCUGCACCUCGGAGGUGUCGGGGUCACCCGAGCUGUUGCUUCUACAAGCCAACCAGUUGUCUUUGCCCACACAGAAGCGGGUCAUGAGCGCCAUUAAGGCUGCCAUGGUCUUCGGCUUUUCCUGCCCAAGGUGUCGGGCGAGCCAUUCGUCACGGAUGCUGCGUUUAAAGGCCGCUAAGGCUUCGACAUCCGGACAGUCUAUGAUCUGGUUCUUUUUAGUUAAGAACCACUUCCAAAGCUUGCGGGCUAAUUCGCCUGGCUGCUGAAUUAUGUAACUCAAGUCGUCAGCAUCUGGUGGUCGGACAUAAGUGCCCUGAAAGUUGACCCGAAAAGCAUCUUCCAAGUGUUCCCAGGUUCCAAUGGAGUUUUCUGGAAGGCUGUUUAGCUAGUGUCGUGCUGGUCCUUUCAGCUUUAGAGGAAGAUAUUUAAUGGCGUGGAGAUCGUCUCCUCGAGCCAUGUGAAUGUGGAGAAGAAACUCUUCAAUCUAGAUGGCCGAAUCCAUCGUUCCAUCGUAUUGUUCGAUGUUUACAGGUUUAAACCCUUCUGGAAAUUGAUGUUCCAUGACCUCAUCGGUGAAGCAUAUGGGGUGUGCGGCCCCUCUAUAUGCGCAAUGUCGCAGCGGAGAUUGGCUGACAUCUGAGUUCGGUCUGAUCCUGAACAUAGUAAUGGUCGUCGCGCUAGUCUUCAUAGCCAUUGUCUUGCGUCGGGGAGCGGCCCCUUGAUCCGUAGAUUGAUCUGGUCUAAUCAGCUUUAUUGGCUAGGUCACGUUGCAAGUCAUAUGUGUAUCCCGCGGCUGCCAUCUCCCUGCCUCUUCGGCGAGGGGGUGUGGGUUGGUGUUCGGCUUGAUAUGCCAUUUUAUCCCGCCCAUGUGGUGGUCAGUCUGGUUGGUCUGCCUGAUUGUACUUCGACGGUAUGGGCUCAAGAGCUUCAUCGUCGAACUGAGGCAGCAGCUUGCGCUUAGGGUAACUUUUAACAGGUCGUUCAUGGUUGUAUUCCUCAGCGGACAGGACCUUAGUCCACCUUUCAUUCAGCGUAUCUUGCUUGGCUUUGAGAUGCUUCUGCUUCUUCUUCAGGCUCUGGGCUGUGGCGAUGAGCUAUCGCUUGAAGCGCUCUUGAUCAAGGGGUUCCUCUGGGACGAUAAAGUCUUCGUCUCCGAGGCUAACCUCCUCUUUGGAUUCUAGCAUAUAGUUGUUGUCCUCCGCAUCUUCAUUGUCCGCGUGUCCGGGGCUAUAUUCACCCUCUUCCCUUUUGUCAUGUUCGGACGUGGGCUCGACGGGGUAUUAGGGAUCUUCAGCAUAGUUUAGAGUCUCAUUAUCUCCGGUCCUGGUAUUGCUAUCCUUCGCCCGAUGCGAUCAUGAGUGGCGCCGCUGACGUCGGCACUUUGGUGGUUUGUCGACGGGUUUGUCCUCAUCUGGGCUCGGGUUAUCCUCGUCGUUCUUUUUAUCCGAAGUGUCCACCAUGUACACAUUGUAGGUUGAGGUGGUCGUCCAAUGCCCCGUGACGGGUGGGACUUGGCUUGGUUCGGCUUCGGCAUAGUCGUCCAUGCCGUCGAUGUCUUCGGACGCAUAGUCCAGCAUGUCAGUUAAGUCCUCGACAAUGGCUAUUAAGUGGGUGGUGGAUGGGGCGUAAUGUCGGUGUCAAAACCGGCAGAUCUCGGGUAGGGGGGAAAGCUGUGCGUCUGAGGACCAAUGGUAACUAUGGACAAAGGACACAGUGUUUACCCAGGUUCGGGCCCUCUUAAUGGAGGUAAAACCCUACUCCUACUUGAUUAUAUUCGAGCGUAUAGGGGUUACAAGAGUUGAUCUACCUCGAGAUCGAUUCGGCUAACCCUAGAUUAGCUAGCCUAGCAAUGUUGUGAUCCGGCCUCCGAUCUACCCUCCGGUUUAUAUAGACACCAGAGGGGCUUAGGGUUGUACAAAGUCGGUUUUACAGAAAGUAAUAAGAUAUCCGGACACCUAUACUUGCCAUCCACGCAUACGGGAGUCCCCACCGGACACGAGAGGUAAUCUUCUGUCUUGUAUCUUGACAGCCCAUCAGUCCGGCCCACAUCAAUAGACCAGACGCCAGAGGACCCCCUAAUCCAGGACUCCCACACUCAUGCCUUCUUGUUCUUGUUCCUUUGCUCAUUGGCACUCUCUAGUGAAUGACUAAUCUCUCAGAUAUGGUCGGGCCGACCAAAGGGUGUUCCCUCGCCAUGUUCACGCGGUGACCACGCGGCUGGCAUGCCCGUGCACAUGCUUUGGCAGUUGGGGCCCUCGGCCUCAUCCGUUUCUUCCAUCCCUCGCCGCCUCACCGUGUCAAGGAGCUUCCCCAUAUCGCCGUCCUCGCCAUGGACCCCCUCCGCCCUUGUCUCUCUCGCCCGACGAGUCGUGUCGAUCGUGUCUAGAGCUAACCGUGCCCUACCCCCGCCAUGGACGUUCGCCCGCGUGCUCUCGAGCAUUCCCGAGCCCUCCUUGCGGCUACAAAUAGCUUCCCCGAGCUCCUCAGCAUCUCACAGACCUCUCAUCCCUCAUCCCCGAGCCCUAGAGCCUCUGCCCUCACCCUUCGUCCACCAUGGCCGCCACCGUCAUCCGCUCGAAUUCAAGCGAGGCAACACCCUGAUGACUACUUGAACUACGUCGGUAUUUCCCCAAAGAGGAAGGAAUGAUGCAGCACAGCGACAGUAGGUAUUUCCCUCAAUGAUGAGAUCAAGGUUAUCGAACCAGUAGGAGAACCAAACAACAAAAUGUACACAGCCCCUGCACACAAAUAACAAAUACUCGCAACCCGACGUGUUAAAGGGGUUGUCAAUCCCUUUUGGGUAACAGUGCCUCAAAUUGGCGAGAAGACGUGAUGAAGUUGUGAUAGAUAGGAUAAAUAGAUAGCAAAAUAAAUAAAGUGCAGCAAGGUAUUUUUUGUAUGUUUGGUUUAAUAGAUCUGAAAAUAAAAGCAAAGAAAAAUAGAUCGCAAAGGAAAAUAUGAUGAAAAGAGACCCCGGGGCGGUAGGUUUCACUAGUGGCUUCUCUCGAGAAAAAUCGCAAAUGGUAGGAAAACAAUUACUGUUGGGCAAUUGAUAGAACUUAAAAUAAUCAUGACGAUAUACAGGAAAUGAUCAUUAUAUAGGCAUCACGUCCAAGAUUACUAUACCGACUCCUACCUGCAUCUACUACUAUUACUCCACACAUCGACCGCUAUCCAGCAUGCAUCUAGUGUAUUAAGUUCAUGGAAAAACAGAGUAAUGCAAUAAGAAUGAUAACAUGAUGUAGACAACAUCUAUUUAUGUAGAAAUAGACCACAUCUUGUUAUCCUUAAUAGCAACGACACAUAUGUGUCGUUUCCCCUUCUGAUACUGGGAUCAAGCACCGUAAGAUUGAACCCAUCAUAAGGCACCUCUUCCCGUUGCAAGAUAAAUAGAUCAAGUUGGCCAAACAAAACCCAAGUAUCAGAGAAGAAAUAUGAGGCUAUAAUCAAUCAUGCAUAUAAGAGAUCAAAAAAGACUCAAAUAACUUUCAUGGAUAAAAACAUAGAUCUGAUCAUAAACUCAAAGUUCAUCAGAUCCCAACAAACACACCGCAAAAAGACGUACAUCAUAUGGAUCUCCAAGAGACCAUUGUAUUGAGAUUCAAGAGAGAGAGAGAGAGAGAGAGAGAGGAAGCCAUCUAGCUACUAACUACGGACCCGUAGGUCUACAAAGAACUACUCACGCAUCAUUAGAGAGGCACCAAUGGACAUGAUGAACCCCUCCGAUAUGGUGUCUAGAUUGGAUGUGGUGUUUCUGGAACUUGAGGUGACUGGAAUUGAUUUUCGUCGACUCCCCUAGAGUUUCUGGAAUAUUGGGGUAUUUAUAGAGCAAAGAGGCGGUACAGGAGGCCACUGAGGUGGGCACAACCCACCUGGGCGCGCCUGGGCCCCCAGGCGCGCCUUGGUGGAUUGUGCUCCCCUCGAAGCACCUCUCUGGCACUUUAUUGGCCCAUAAGGUGUCUUCUGGUCCAGAAAAAAUCCACAAAAAGUUUCACUGCGUUUGGACUCCAUUUGGUAUUGAUUUUCUGUGAUGUAAAAAACAAGCGGAAAAGAGCAACUGGCACUGGGCACCAUGCCAAUAGGUUAGUACCAAAAAAUGAUAUAAAAUGAGUGUAAAACAUCCAAGAAUGAUAAUAUAACAGCACGGAACAAUCAAAAAUUACAGAUACGUUGGAGAUGUAUCAGCAUCCGCAAGCUUAAUUCCUGCUCGUCCUUGAGUAGGUAAAUGAUAAAAACAAAAAAUUGAUGUGGAAUGUUGCCUAACAUGUUCAUCACAUAUUGUUUUCUUUGUAGCAUGGACACUUGGACUUUUAUAUGGUUUAAAGCAAUAGUCUAGUUUUGACAUAAGAUUUUAAUACUCAAGCAUACCAAUAAGCAACAAUGUCUUUCAAAAUAUCAACGCUAAAGCAAGUUAUCCCUAGCCCAUUAUGCUCAAUCAUUGAUCCAUUCAUGAAACACACUCGAAUAUUAGCUACACCCAAUUCUCACAUAUGACCAUAGUGCCACUUAGUUGGUGCUUUAUAAGAGAGGAUGGAGACUCAAAUUCAAAAUAAAUUUUUUGCAUAAAGUAAAAGAAAGGCCCUUCGCAGAGGGAAGUAGGGAUUUGUAGAGGUGCCAGAGCUCAAAGCGAAAAUUGAGAGAUAAAAACUUUUUUGGAGGCAUACUUUUCCCACCAAUGAAAACGACAUGGAGUUCCCAAUACUUUCCAUGCUAGAUACAUCAUAGGCGGUUCCCAAACAGAAAAUAAAGUUUAUUCCUUUUUCCACCAUUACUUUCACUUUCCAUGCCUUGUUCGUAUCCACGGGUGCCCUGGAUACCAACACUUUCCAAGGAAUUUAUUAUUUGACAACAUAAAGUAAAUUCAUUUCUCAUUUCGGGACUGGGCAUCCCUAAUACCUUUGACGUACUCUCGUGCAAUGACUAGUGAAUAAACACUCAUGUGAGAAUAACACAUCUAGCAUGGAAAAUAUCGGCCACCCCUCACCGCCCCAUGAGCAGUACGAGCACACAGAAGAGAAAUUUAUUUUGAAAAUUAUAGAUGGCACAUGCAAAUUUGCUUACAACGGCACGGAAAUACCACAUAUAGGUAGGUAUAGUGGACUCAUAUGGAAAAAACUGGUUUAAAGGGUUUUGGAUGCACAAGUAGUGAUCAUACUUAGUGCAAAAUGAAGGCUAGCAAAAAGAUUGAGAACUGGCCAACCAAGAAACACAAAAUCUCGUACCCAAGCAUUAAGCAUAAGUAACACUGAAUAAUGCACCACAAGUAGGAUAUAAAUUUUAUUGCAUAACUAUUGACUUUCGUGCUUGCAUAGGGAAUCACAAACCUUAACACCAAUAUUCUUACUAAAGCAUAAUUACUCAUCAACAUGACUCGCAUACCAUAUCAUCAUAUCUCAAAACCAUUACUAAGAACCAAGUUUACUUUGUCCAAUGAUCUUCAUGAAAGUUUUUAUUAUAUCCUCCUUGGAUAUCUAUCACUUUGGGACUAUUUUCAUAUGUUGCUUUUAAUAAGCUCAAACAAAUUUAAGUGAAGAUAUUUCUUUCUCUCAAAAUAAUCUAAGUGAAGCAAGAUAAAGUUUCUUUAAAAAAUUACUAACUCCCAAAUAAAUCUAAGUGAAGCAUGAGAGCAUUUCUUCCAAAAAUAACUAAGCACAUUGUGCUCAAAAAGAUAUAAGUGAAGCACUAGAGCAGUUCCAAGGCUCUAAAAAAUUGAAGUAAAGCAUAGGAGCAAGCAUAGCAUAAUUUUUGGCUCUCUCAAAAAGGCGUGUCACAAUUCCUAGGGCUUCUGGAAUAUUGGGGGUAUUUUUAGAGCAAAGAGGCGGUGCGGGAGGCCAUCGAGGUGGGCACAACCCACCACUACAAAAAAAAGACACAUCCGUGACAUUUUGGGCCAAACAAAAAAAAUUAUGUCAUACAUAUGACACUUCUAUGACGAUAAUUGUGACAAAACCCGGUAUCAUCAUAGAUGUGGUGGGCUCCUACUUCUAUGACAAAAAAUCAUGAUAGAAAAUAGGCUUUUCGUCCUGGGCGGGCCGGAGACGCAGCUGCAUGACAUUCUUUGGGCCGUCCAUGACGGAAAAAACUAUGGUAGAAGCGAGGGGGAGGAAAAUUUCGGGGAGUUCCCGGUUACGGUGGGAGGUCGGGGCCGAGCGAUGCGCGUUUCUCUCAUACACGUACGCACGUGUCCGCGAGGCGUUGGCUCUAACUGAACCCGAGCGAGGCGUUGGGCUCUAAAUGAACCCGAGCGAUUGCACUGCAGGCUACGCGUUACUGAACCCGAGCUAUCGAUCGAUGGCUGUUAACUGAACCCGAUCGAGCGAUACCUUCGCUACUGCUGCUAACUGAAGCCGAUCGAUUGGAUGAACNNNNNNNNNNNNNNNNNNNNNNNNNNNNNNNNNNNNNNNNNNNNNNNNNNNNNNNNNNNNNNNNNNNNNNNNNNNNNNNNNNNNNNNNNNNNNNNNNNNNNNNNNNNNNNNNNNNNNNNNNNNNNNNNNNNNNNNNNNNNNNNNNNNNNNNNNNNNNNNNNNNNNNNNNNNNNNNNNNNNNNNNNNNNNNNNNNNNNNNNNNNNNNNNNNNNNNNNNNNNNNNNNNNNNNNNNNNNNNNNNNNNNNNNNNNNNNNNNNNNNNNNNNNNNNNNNNNNNNNNNNNNNNNNNNNNNNNNNNNNNNNNNNNNNNNNNNNNNNNNNNNNNNNNNNNNNNNNNNNNNNNNNNNNNNNNNNNNNNNNNNNNNNNNNNNNNNNNNNNNNNNNNNNNNNNNNNNNNNNNNNNNNNNNNNNNNNNNNNNNNNNNNNNNNNNNNNGUGGAGGGGUGGUUGAACAGUAGCCAGUGGAGUAGCGCGCGGUGGAGGCUGGAUGAACAGGAGCCCGUGGAGGCUGGAGGAGGUCGACGAUAGCCCGUGGAGGAUGGAGGAGGUCGACGGUGGAGAUGAACAAUAUCUCGUGGAGUCCCGUUUUGCGGUACGCCACACCCCUCCCGAUGAAUAGGACCCCUGUUUCGACCGUAGCGCUCCAACACAAGUCCGUUUCGUCCGUUUUGCGGUACGCCACACCCCUCCCGAUCAACAGGACCCCUGUUUCAACCGUAGUGCUCCAACACAAGUCCGUUUCGUCUGUUUUGCGGUACGCCACACCCCUCCCGAUCAACAGGACCCCCGUUUUGACUGUAGGAGGUCCGUUUCCUCCGUUUUACGGUACGCCACACCCCUCCCGAGCAACAGGACCCCGUUCCGAACGUAGGAGGUCCGUUUCCUCCGUUGUGCGGUACGCUAGGCCUCGUUUCCAUCGCCUGUUCCAUCCAAGCCCUCCCGAUGAACACGACCAUGCAUUCUGUUCCGACCCAGCCGGUUGGCUCCACGUGUUCCGUUGCCUCCCAAUGAACACGACGCAUUCCGUUGCCUCCCCAUGAACACGACGCAUUCCGUUGACUCCCCAUGAACACGAGCCCUCGCCAUACAUAUGCGCGAGUAGGUGUUCGAGACCUCGCCCGUAUGUACACAACAUGGCCGUAUUUUCUUUCUUGCACCCUGGCCGAUGUACGUACGUGUACAUGCUACGUACGCGCCUCUACUACGACACGUGCGCGCCUCUACAUCCACCAGUAUAUAUGUGCAUACACGUUCGCGACCAGAAUGACAACGCUAUUUACGCUUCGACCAGGUGGGUCCCGACUGUCAGGCACUUCCUUGCGUGCGAAGAUGUAGCUAGUGGGUCCUAGCAGUCAGGGGGCGAAUCCUUUUUUUUGCCCAGACGCACUUCCUCGCGUGCGAAGAUGUAGCUGGUGGGUCCCAGCAGUCAGGGGAAACGUUUUUUUUGUGAAAUAUGGUGGCCCGUCCUGUCAGGUGGAGGAAUAAUUAUUUUCUGCGUAAUAAGGAGGCACUUCCUUGCUGCGGCCAUGGACCCAGCUGUCAGCCUCUCCACGUACAGUCCACGUCCAAUGGAAGUCGUUCCUUGACCACAUUGACCACGCCGUGCCGAGAGCACCAGGGUGGUGGACGAUGGCGAGGCCUAGGAAGGGGACGACGGGGAGCCGGGGAAGACGCGGCAGUGGAAGCCCGCGCGGAGAGGAGUACGAGGGUUCACUGGUUCGGCUGCGGUGUGAGACUGCCAUCGCCGCAGGGCCUGGCCAGCAGUGGGAAUAGUAGGGGCAGUGAGGCCUCCGCGGCAGCACAUCCAGCCACGGGAGGCAACAGCAUGCGGCACGACCGGCGCUGCUUUGAGUGGCUAGAGCAAGAAAACCAGAGGUUGAAGAAGCACUAUGGCCGUUGGAUGGACAUCGUACGGUCACUGGAGCUAGAAUCAUUUAUAUUGACUAAGUUGACAAAGCCCUCCAUCCCCAUCAACUUAGUAGGCCCACAAGUCAGCCUCCCACCAAGGUGGGUCCUAGCUAGCAGGGGGUAUUCAUUUUUUUGUGUGUAAUAAGGAGGCACUUCCGGUGGGUCCGAGCUAACACCAGGGGGAACGUUUUUUCGCCAAAUACGGUGGCCCGUCGGGUGGGUCCCAGCAGUCAGGGGCAAAGGUUUUUUUUUGUGAAAUACUUGUAGCCCGUCCGGUGGGUCCCUGCUAUCAAGUGGAGGAAUAAUUAUUUUCCGCGUAAUAAGGAGGCACUUCCUUGCGGCUGCCGUGGACCCAGCUGUCAGUCUCUCCACGUAUAGUAUUCUUCCGAUGGAAUUUGGUUGUUGACCACAUUGACCACGCCACGCCGAGAGCACAACGGCGAUGGACGACGGUGAGGCCUAGGAAGGGGACAACGUGGAGCCGGGGAAGACGCGACAGUGGAUGCCCACGCGUAGAGGAGUACAAGGGUUCACUGGUUCGCUGCGGUGUGAUGCCGUCGCCGCAGGGCCUGGCCAGCGGUGGGAAUAGUAGGGGGUGGUGAGGCCUCCAUGGUAGCACAGCCGGUCACGGGAGGCAGGAGCAGGCGGCACGACCGGCUCUGCUUUGGGUGGCUGGAGCAAGAAGACCAGAGGUUGAAGAAGCACUACGGCCGUUGGAUGGACAUCGUACGGUCAGUCGAGCUAGAAUCGUGCAUAUUGACUAAGUUGACAAAGCCAUUCGUCCCCGUCAACUUAGUAGGCCCACUAUACUGGGUCCCAGCUAGCAGGGGGAGUAUUCAUUUUUUUGUGCGUAAUAAGGAGGCACUUCCUUGCGUGCGAAGAUAUAGCUGGUGGGUCUGAGCUGUCAGCGGCGGUAACGUUUUUUUCGUGAAAUACAGAGGCCCUUUCGGUGGGUCCCAGAUGUCAGGUGGAGGAAUCAUUAUUUUGCGUGUAAUAAGGAGGCAUUUCCUUGCGUGCGGCCGUGGACCCAGCUGUCGGCCUCUCCACGUACAGUCCACUUCAAAUGCAUGUCAGUUGUUGACCACGUUGACCAGGCCGCGCCGAGAGCACCAGGGCGGUGGACGACGGCGAGGCCUAGGAAGGGAACGACAUGGAAGCAGGGAAGACUCGGCAGUUGUUUCCCACGUGGAGGGGAGUAUGACUAUACGAGGGUUUAUUUGGUUCGUCUGCCGUCGCCGAAGAAUAACAGUAGGUGUGGGAUUGUGGGUGAGUAGAGGGAUGGCUAGGCCAGCGAUGGGAGUACGGUGGGGCGGUGAGGCCUGCGCGGUAGCACAGCCGGCCGCGGGGAGGAGGGAGAAGGCAGUCCCGCUGGCGCUUGUUUGAGCGGCCGGAGCAGGAAGAGCAGAGAUUGAAGAAGCAUGACAGCCGUUGGAUGGACAUCCAAUAGUAUACAAGCCAUCUGUGGAAAGCCUCAAAUCUGUGGAAAACAGCAUUCAACCCAUGCCAUUAUUUCAAAUAAUUUACAACCCAUUUGCUAAUUCUGACGGGUUUUUUUGGAGCCCAUACUCUUUUUGUUAGCAUUAUAGCCCAUAUUGUGGCCACGGUUAAAAAAUGAUACGAAAUUCUGCAUAUGUCGGUGCGGUCUGAACUGUUUUUAAUCCCGAAAUUUCGAGUCACAUUCAGACUGAUUUUAAAAAUAAAUGUAUAUCAAUAUAAAAUCCAAUAAAUUUUCCACGCAUAAAAAUCAAUGCAAUUUAAAAUCUCAAAAUGAAAAAAAGAUAUUUGAAACUAAUUGUCGGUUUGAUGUGUUUUCAAAAUGUACAGCCCAUUUCUCAUUACUGAUAGGCCAUUUUCUCGGCCAGUCGAAUGAAGCUCCCCUCGUCUUAAAAUAUUUGCAGCCCAAUAGGCAUGAUAAAGCGACUUACUUGACAAAUCACAAAAAAACUGGGCUAGCCAUUUUCAGAAAGAAAAAAAAACUACUAGGCUGGUCUGUGGUAAACAUAAAAGAAAAGGCUGUCUAGACAGGCCAGAGUGUCCCGCACAGCCCAGUUGACACCUUGCUUCCGUCUCAAAAACAAAUUACAUAAAUGCCACUCUAAUUAUGGCGAUUCAUAAAAAUGCCACUGCAUUUUCCAAACUUUGAAAAAUGCCACUACAAUUUUUGCAAACUUUGAAAAACACCACUGUAGUUUGCAAACUUUGAAAAACGCCACUCCAGACUUCGAAAAAUGCCACUAGAAAUGGCAUGAAAUGGCAUUUUUCAAAGUUUGGAAAUUGCAGUGGCAUUUCUCGGAUACACCAGAUUUGGAGUGGCAUUUAUCAAAUUAACCCAAAACAAAAAUAACUGGGCGAGCUGCUGGGUCCCUGGUGUCAGCCGCUCGUUGUGCAAUUCUCUCAUUUAUUGACUACGUUGACAAUGGCAUGGGACCCAGAUGUCAGAAAUCCACUAGGAGGAGCCAUUUUUUAUUGGCUUGAAAUAAGGAGGCACUUGCUUGCGUACUGCCAUGACCUUGGUGGGUCUCUGCUAUCAUCCUCUCCAUGUACAAUCAUCUCCUGAUUGUGUACGCGUCAACUUUCUAGGCCCACAAGUCGGCCUCUAAACCCGUGGAGGACAAAUACAACCCAUUUAAAAAAAUAACAACCAAUUCCAUACGUUCAAACGGAAAGUUCAACAUUUAGAGCAAAGUAACAGGUCUGAUCCACAUAUAGAGUACUGAACUUCCACAUUGACAACCAUCAUAGCCAAGUUAACUAUCUACUCCCACUAAUACUCUAGUAGCGUACAAGUACUAACUUACUCUUGGCUAACUAGACGAUGUCGGCCGCCAUCUGUGGUACACGCUAAACGCCGGCACCGGCGUCCUAUGCCUCGCCUCGGACUUGCAAGAGGUGCGAUAGGGCGCGUUGCUCGCGCGUGUUGGCCCUUUCCAUGCCGGCGUGGUCCACCGACGCUUCGGCUUCCAAGCGGGAAACCCACUUGAUGAGAUGGUAGUAAAAAUCGGUGUCGCGAACGCGUGUGUGCCUGACAGCCUCCAGGGCUAUUUGUCGGGCGCCAGCCUCCACGCAAUCGGCCCAGUUGCGGGCGCUCUGCUCGCGACUCAGAGCGUCGGUGCGCUGCUGCUCCAUGUCCCGCUGGCGGCGCAAAUUGGCGAUACAUUGCUCCUUCGCUAGGCGGUCGCGCUCCAACAACUCCUGCUCCUCCGCCAUGCGGUUGCGCUCCAAAAACUCCUCGAUCUCCGCAUUGCCAUCUAAAGACAGAUAGAAUGCCUCCUCCCUCCGUCUGCCUUCCGGUGAAAAACCGAACACUAGUUCCGGCAGUGACCGCCUCCGGCGUCGCCUAUCGCAGACGGGCGGGGGCAUGGCGGACUUGGCGAGCGACGUCGGGCCGGUGGGGGCUUAUGAGGAUAUGGCGAGUUGGGUCAUGGUAGCACCGGAGAAGGCUGAGAAACAGUACUUAUAGGGGGAAGGUAGCGCGACGGUCAUCGAAAUUCAAUGCAUAAUGGCUUAGCGCGCCAGCUUGCCAUGGAAAACUAGAGAAACUGAAAUUAUGACUGUGCCGUCCCGUCCCGUCUGGGUCGCACACCGGCAUGGUGGUCAAACGAGUGCACUCGAAUCAUCUCCCUCCUUGUCAAUAAUGAUUCCACGGAUUUAAAAAGCCCGCAACAAUUAAAGCGUAUCUUUUUUUGCAUUAGUUAGCUGCCUUAAUUACGGCCGGCUGCAUGCAGGCACUUAGAAUCGCUCGCAGGCAGUACGCGAAGCAGCAUGCAAUGAGUCGCAGCCGAGGGCACGCAUGCAGCCACUUAAAUCACUGGAAUUAAUUAGGCUUAAACUUCUGCAUGCCGUUAAUUAUUACCAUGCCUUGGUCUUGCUACUUUGCUCACGGGGCUAAUAAACCCGGACGGAGGGAGUACCUUGCUUGGUGAGAGGUUUGAAUUAAGCCCUGCAAACCGGAAAGGAGGUACUAGUACGUGCGUGAUCCGCUAUUUAUUCGUGUAGGAUCGAGUAGGUCGUUUCUUGAAUUAAGCCCUGCAAACCGGAAAGGAGGUAGUACGUGCGUGAUCUGCUAUUUAUCCGUGUAGGAUCGAUAGUGUAGCUUGCCAGUUUCUUCAGAGGUAGGCAUUUUUAUCCGUGUAGGAUCGAUAGUGUAGCUUGUCAGUUUCUUCAGAGGUAGGCAUUUUUAUUCAAAAAACUGCCACUUCGCAUCUUGCGUCGCAAAUAAAAUUGCCAGGAGCGCAUUUGUAGGCUAGCUAGUGAUCGAUCAGUAACUUGUAAACACUGAGCGAACAGAAAUAAGUAACUGUUAAUGCAUCUCAAUGAUUCACAAAUCAUAUACAAAUAUGUAGCUCCAAAAGCAAAGAUCAACCACUUCGGAUCUUGCGUCGCAACUAAAACUAACUAGUACAAUUCCCAUACAUAAGAUCAACAUGUUAAUGCAUCUCAAUGAUUCACAGGUCAUAUACAAAUAUGUAGCUCCAAUAGCAAAGAUCUAGAAAAAAUAACUGUUCUUCCUACUAACAUGGAUGCUUCUCUUGGCCAACAUUCAGUACAGACUGAAAGACAAAUUUGUUUGUGAAGUCUACAAUUCCUCUUGCAAACGUAAGUGGUUUCACCAACAGCUGGAACCAUGAGAAUGAACCACACAUGAUGGAGGAACAUCCACCGCAAUAUGAUUUGGUCUUCCCUCGAUCACACUGCGAGACUAUUUUCGGAAUACAAACUUUAACUUAGGGAAAAUGAUGCCCAUUGUAUAAUCAGACCAAAGCAAUGAAGCACCUAGUGUUGGCCAGUAAAUAGUACAGUACUACUUUUCUGCAGUCCAUGAAGUGACUAUCCAAUCUUUGUGUCUAUUUUCAAAUGGCACUAGAUGCAGUGACUAUACUAUUCUCUUGUGCAGUUCAACCAAAAUUGCAAACACUUUGUUUGUUUGCCAAAUAGCAAUGGGCAGACAUCUCUGUCUGCACAAAUAUCAAGCAGCUAGUAAACAUAUACCACACCAUGUUUGCAAUGAUGGAAGAGGUGAAAUCGAUACAACCGAAAUUGAGCAUCCAAUCAUUGAAUCAUGUCCUGCACCUCCAAUGUAGGUCCACCCUGCCAAUAAAUUCACAUGCAAACCACUGGUAUUACUAUCUAAUGACAGUACAAAAAGAGUAGCAAGAUAGUAGCAAACCAUGUACCUUCGUAACGAACAGCUCAUAGUGCCACCAAUUGGAUAUAAAGGUUUGAAAAAAAACAUGCUCCUAAUGUUGAACUAGUUGGACUUUUUGUGCAGUUCCACUAAAAUCGAGCAUCCCUGUUUGCAUAGAUAUUGAAAGUGUGAUUACUAUAAAAGUGGCACUAGUUGAAGCAUAGACUCACAAAUAUAAGCAUUCCAAUUUCUUAAUGGGAAAAGGUAGCAAGACUGUUUCUAACCACCUGUUUGAAGGAAUAAAUAAAGCAACAACGGCUGAUGUCAGGAAGGCAUACACAGUUUUUUCUAAAAAACUGAGCCAUUCCUGACCUUUCCUCUUCUUUUAAGCAAAUUUUGUGCAGUUCUACUAAAAUAAAAUGCCAUCACCGCCUUGACAAUUCUGUGACACUGUACAAAAGGAAAUGACUUAACAUUACAUCAUGAUGUCAGGUAUGUAGUCGAUAGGCAUUAGAGACAAACAUACAGACCUCCUCCAAUAACAUAAUGAACAUUAAUUUUAACAAAGUUGUGACUAGCUUUACCAGGAUAAUUUGAGUGAACUCUAUACCCUCUGUUCCUUAAUAUAAGACAUUUUCGCGGUUCAAUUUAAAGUACCCAAAUGUCUAGUAUUUAGAAAAACAGGUAGUAGUUUUCUUGAGCACAUAUCUGGGAAAGCUUGCCACACUUUAUUUAUGUCCAUACGCUAAUGCAACACCAUUCGAAUACUACAAAUAUACACUAAUCCAGUGGCUAGUGCAACAGUAGAGUAGUUAGUUUAUUACAGGGUAUAGUACAAUGGUUUUACUGAAUAGAUUUCAAUAAACUCUAGCACUGGAAGGUUUCUAUAAGAAUUAACAAUACAAAAUGUAAAGGGAACAAGUUUCAGCAUUGGUAUACUAGCUGUGCAUGAGCAUCAAACCAAAUACAGAAGUCUGAAGGUAACUAGCAUUAUUAACUAAUGACAAUAUAAAAAAAUUGCAAACCAUGUACCUCUAAGGUAAAUAUCAUUUCGAACUCAGGGGGACCUUAAAAAUUGUUAUCCCAAUCUUGAUAAUCGAUCAAACACAAAAACUUGAUCGAACGAAUCAAGAGAAUAGCCGGAGGAGGAGGUGCCCACUCUUGACCUUUCCUCUUGUCUUCAUAAUUGUCUGUGCAGUUUAACCAAAAUAAAAUGACAUCAGCGCCUUGGCAUUUUUGUGACACUGUACAAAAAAAUUAACUUAUCUCAUGAAAGUGAGUAUGUAAUCUAUAAGCAUUAACAGUGCAAAAAUCUGAAGGUAGUAACAAGUUUCAUCGUUGGUAUACUGGCUGUGCAACAGCAUUAGAAUGCCUUAGCUGAAAAAUCUUUAAUACAUCCACAAUCAACAGCUAACCCUGAAAUAAUCUAGUGACAUUAAAUGACAUUGCUUAAAUUUAUCGGUGGCAUUAGACAGAGAGCGGCAUUAGUUAAAUGUGGCAUCACUUUAGCAGUAGCAUUGCUUGACUUGACUGCUAGCGUUAUACUAACAGCAAAAAGAAGUGGCAAUAAGAGCAUGGGAGGCCCAUUCGAACAGUGGGCGCACCAGUACGAUGUACCUCCACGGACGCAGAGUGGUGAGGGAGGUAUGGUUGCCCAGAGCAACAAAUAUCCAGGCAGCAUAUGUGGAUUACAUCCCAUUUUUGUUCUCUUUAGCCACCUUUUUCCUAUGUGAGGACAACAAACCGAUCGACCUGGUCAUUCUCUAUUGCGUUGUCAUGCCUUUCUACCCUUCUUCAACCAAGAGACACGAGACUCAUUCCUUAGCUACUGAUUUUCCCCUUUUCAACCUAGAUGCGGGUUCGAUGCCUACUCUCUUGGACAGUACAGUCUCCCUUCCUUUCCUUAUUCAACCCAGACAUAGAUUAGUUUGCAUGAAGUAGGGUUUCCUUUAAUAGUGCAAAUUAUGGUUUUCGUCUGCAUGGCCAGCAGAGCAGAGGAUAGCAAAUUGGGAAGAUGGUGGAGUGGAAAAAGAUCCACAUGCAACGACGUGCCAGAUGGGGCAAUAGAACAAGGGUAUGGUUCGAAAAGAGGUAGCACACACAACGGCAGCGAGCUUGGGGACGGAGGCCAUCCCGCGCGGGCGCUAGGUCUGAGAGGACAGCCUUGUCAUCAGUGCGUGACCUCGCUCGCCAACGACGAGUGCGCCAAUGCUGCACGUCCUUUUCUUCCCCGGCGGAUCUGUGACCACCGGUGAGGAGGGAGAGAGGGGCCAUCUUUUUUAGAUCUAGAGAGGGGGUGGUAGUGCGAGAAGCAAGUGGGCAGCCCUUGGCAAGAAAGCGAUGAAGCUCCAUCCUAUAUAUCUUUUUAUACUACUAGUACUGGAGAUGGAGUAGUGGUAGAGUAGUUUAUAUUUUCUCUGUGUACAGUACCAGUUAGUCGUGCUUCAAAUCUGAACGGCACGCCAUUAAAAAAAUAAAGGUCGAUAACUAAUGCGGCACCUCGGGCCAACGCGGCCAGAUCGCAUUUUGCACGAGAAAUUACACACCAUGUUUCGUUGACAUGUGGUCCCGUUCCAACAUAUCCGUGAGACGACGGCGAGUAGUAGGAGUAUUUCCGAACCGACGUGUAGGCCGGGGCGCCCCUUCGUGAACCAUCGCAAACUGGCAACCGUCCACCAACUCUUCGCCUUUCCCUCUCGAUUUGGAACUGUUGUCGCACGCUCUUCCUCUCCCUCCUCCAUCUUCCUUCAGCCCUUCACCCUUUCUUCUGCCAUUUUUCGAUCGUCUUCUCCAUGGAGGGAACAGGACGGAAACGACCCCGUUAUUCUUGCCCCGAUCUGAAAAAUGACGUCGUGCAGGAACUCAUUGAUUGGCAGGUUCGUUGAAGCCCAUUCUCGACUCAACUAAUAACAUCAUUACAAGGAACCCAAGAGUAAAGGAGCGGUUUGAUCUCCCCUAUCUUCUUCGCCAUGACCCUGAUGACUGGUGCCGGCACGACGGAGGCCUCGCCCUGUGCAAGUUGAUGCCGCUUGAUAAUGAUACGUAUGAUGUUAAGAUGCCAUCGCUUGAGGGCAAGGCUUGGGCAGGCGCAAAUGGAGAUUGGGUUGUUUACAAUGGGUCCAACUGUGAGUGGGAACCUGUGAACGUGUACACUCAUGACCGGGUUCCACUUCCAAAAAUCUCAGCAGACUGCCCAGAGGUUGAGCACACCGGUAUUGUACGCACGUUCAAAUACAAUCAUGGUGACUGUCUUCUACGGAAGAUAGCAAUUUGUCGAGUUCCCAACCGCUCUUGGAAUUACAACAACUAUGAAGUUGUUGCUAUCUUCGACAAGCUUGUUGUCGUCCUUGGUGGUUUGACUCGAUGGAUAUUGCUCAAAAAUCAGUUUUUGUACACGGAUGAGUACUGUGAUGCAAUUCAAUACGAGGGCCUUGAGUUUGCUGCCACCACUCAUGGCACUGUUUUUGCAUGGCAUCCUCGUAGUUUCGGUACGUUUGUCUUCCACCGUAAUUAUAAUUGUUUCAUCCACAUGCAUGCGGGUUAGCAAGUUUCCCUUUACUAAUUAACCUUCUUCUUGUGUUUCCAAGGUCCUAUGAACAUUCCACCACGUAUACUUGAAAAAUUUUAUAACCAAGGGGGAGAUGACGAUGGUGAUGAUCACGAGCAUGAGGACGAGCAGCGCCCAUAUACUCUUUGGCGCCUGGCAACUAAUUCCGAUGGAUCACCUCUUCUUGUGUGUAUACAGCCCACUGAUGAUGUUACUGCUAAGGAAGCAGGUGUAGUCUCCCAUGGUCGCACUCUCCGGACCUAUUCCAACACCCGUUGCAUGGUAUUUGGGAUGGAUACUAGUGUGAUAGCGCUAACUCCUUCUCCCUGGUACAGAAUUGAUAGUCUUGGAGAAAACUUGCUCUUCCUUAGACAAAACUAUCCAAUGAUGGUGAAAGGCGAUCCAACUGCUGUUGACACAACGUUACUACCAUUUAUGAGAAGCAACUGUGUCUAUACCUCGGACAUUUGGGUGGUUCCCUACCCUGGUACUGAUAUAGUAGGCCGCUUCAGCUUGGAUGAUCAGUCCUGCGUUGGUCUCCAGAUCGACAAUGGAUGGCCCGUCCCAGAGAAUCACUUGUGGUUCAAAGCAAGCAUUUCCAACGCCGAGGAAUGGUUGAGUUGAAGUUCAUUUCAUUGCUUGUUAUUUUUUGUGUGGUGAAAACUUCAGUAUUUAUAAUGUAUCCUCAUUGUCGAUGUGGGUUGAUGACCUGUUGUAUGUAAUAAAAUGAUAUGCCAGUGAUAAACUUACUAAAUUUAUGAAUGGCUUUCGAGUUGCUUCUGUGAGUGAGUGGUGCGACGAGGCAAAAAAAAUAUUUUCCGAAUACAUAAUUGUACGUGCAUUGCAACAGGUUAUCGAAUGAGGCCAAUCAACAAUAGUAGUACACUAUUUGUACUAGCUUCACAUGCUUCACGCGUUGUGCGGGUGUUUUUACUGUAGCCAUAUUGUACUACGUAACCAGCACCUCGAAUACUCGAUACUAAUAGUAUAUAGUAAGUGGUAGGAGUAGUAGGGUGGCAUGGGCCAGAAUAAGCAUUCACGUCCAGGAGUACGGCACACGCCACCAGCACGACUUCCAUCUGACACCAUAUUUCUUGGAGUCCGUGCUAGAGCAAUCUCUUCAACCUCAUCGUUUCUCUAACUCAGCCAUCACGCGGCGGGCGAGGUGGGGGUUUGCCGAUAGUCGGUUUCCUUAACUGCGGUCCCACUUGUAAGGCCAACUCCAACGCACUACCCCAAACGGACCUCCGUUUUGCACGAACUCCAACAAUAAUUUUGACUAGAAAAGCAAGACCAAAGAAAACAAGAACCACGAGAAUACAUUUUACUACUCGUGUAAGUUGGAUUAGUGCCUUCUUGAUGCAUUCAUUGUUGAUUUGUGGAGGCUCGAUCUUGCGUGCUUCUUUCUUCUUCGAGUGUAAAGAAGUAGACGUUGCUUCCUCGCAUCUAGUCUCAUGUCUAGCCUCUAUUCUAGUAGGAGUAUCAACAAGUGCUCUAAUCUCAUCUCUAGCCUCUGUGCUAGCUAAAAGUGAUAGAACAUCUACUAAAUUACGCUCUAUCAAUAUAUGGAUGUACUCUUCUUCCCAAUACAAAAACUUGCAUCCAUUCUACUCCCUCCGUUGCACAAUACAUGCCUUCAAUUUAUCAAAAUAUAUAUGUAUCUAGACAUGUUUUAGUAUAUAGGUACAUCCAUUUUUGGACAAAUGGAAGUCAAGUAUUUUGGAACGGAGGGAGUACACAAUAAGAAUUUUAAGUUAGCACAACUAGUCUAAUCCGAGAGCACAACCGAAGAUUUGGUCGGGUUCUUCCUCCUUUUGCCGACACGUGGGACAUCCAGCAUCCAGGUCGUGUCAUGAAAGAAAAUAGAGUGGUAGUUGAAGCCACGAGAUGUGCAUCUCGGGUUAAACUGUAAAUAGAAUCUUACUACUCUUGAGUAACUCCAAAAGCGGCCACCGAAGAUCUUUCUUGGAUUUGUUUUUCAUCACCAGCAAGUCGAGGUGAAAGAUGUGCAGGUUCAGUGGGUCCGCUUGUGUUUUCACUGACAUGUGGGACCGCAUGUGAGCAAACAUACGAUGGGCUCUACGCGUCUGCUGGCUGGCUGAGAAGAGAGAUAGAGGAGGGCUGAGGACGGACUGCAAGAAAUUUGUUCUACGUACCUCGACAUAGGCUCGAUAUAGUGGGGUGGCAUGGGCCAUAACUAGCAUUCACGUCUAGCAGUACGGCACAUGCCACCCACACGAGUCCCAUCCGACACCAAUUUUCUUGGAGUCCAUGCUACAGCCAUCUCUUCUCCCUGCUGUUUUAUCAGCCAUCAUGCGGUGGGCGGGGUGGGGGUUUGGCGAUAGUCAGUUUGCUCAACUGCGGUCCCACUGGUAAGUGAAAAUGCAACACCGCACACAUUCCCGCUUGAGCGGCGUGCCGGACCAACCGUGUGGGGGUGCGACGCGAACACGACAGGCUUUUCCGUUUGAACUCGUAACUUGUAAAAUUUGGUUCUGCUCCAUGGCGCGACCAAUAGAUAGAAAAUAAUGAUUUUGCCUAGAGUAAUGAGAAGUUUGGUUCUGGCGCCAUUCAUGCAUGGAGUACAUAUGAAAAUUAUGAAGUUGAUGCGAAAGGUAAGAUAAUUACUAUAGUAUCAUAUACUACUACAUGGAUUUGACGGAAAGAUAAAAAUACAUACGGAUCCAUCAACGACAUCCUCACGCCCUAGUGCGCCGGGUCACCAACCGACGUGUCAGGAGCAGCGGCGUUGGCAGCGAGCUCAACGUGCUUCUGAACAGUGUCAUCCAAGGUUGCACUGCGGUCCAAGAAGGUCAGUGUCCUAUCGUCCUCCUCUUGCAUGUAGUAGUCCUUGUGGACGAUUUGCGCGUAGACGUGGGUGAUUAUGUCGAUGGUGUCUUGCUGUGCCAGGCGCUGCGCGGCAAGCGCGACCUUGAGGUGGACAUUCUCUGGCACGACGGCGGGCAGUCGCAGGGCCACCAGUGCGUCGAAGAGGUUGUCACCAUAGUGGCCGUUGAGGGUGGCGGGCAUCGCAGAGCCUGGGCGCGUCGGUUGGAGGCUUACGUCAAAGUCGUCUGCGAGCUUCUUGAUGAUGGUGAACUUGUCGAGGAAACCGACGAGGACCUCAUUGAGCAAGGAGAUGAAGCUGUCGUCCAAGCGGCCCCUCCCCUGGCGGCCUCAAGUAAUACUACCUGGAGACGUUCCUCGAUGUAGGGCCGCAGGCCGGCAUCGUGGACCAUCUAGCACAGCCGGCUAAUGCUCACGCUCAUCGCCUCCAUGGGUCUAGCUUAGCUUCUAGUCAACUGAUCUUGCGAUUCGAGUGAUCACUCUUGCCCUUGGUUAGCGUGCGUAGGCGCGUAGGAUUUCGUACUACUCCUCGGCCCUCUACUGCACCUGCCUUUGGCUCUAUGAUAGGUGGGCCAGCCACCCCCUAGGCCGACGUGUCAUUCACCCAAAGGCAGUUGCCGUAAGUCAAAGUAGUUGCGUCCCCCUCCGUGCCGGUGCAGUAUAGUCAUCUCACCGGACCUCUAGUUGGGGCCAAACGAGAGAAGUUUGAUGUUUACUGGUUUAUUGGUCCCCUUUGCAUUUUGCGCCAAGUUUUGACCUUUGAUUUAACUAAUAAAAUGUUAAUGCAUGUAAACAAAAAUGUUGUGUAAGUCACCUUACGAAAACCAAAUAAUCCCAAAACACUUAGGCACGGUGCAUUAACUCCCUCCUUGUUUCUUAUUUCGUGACAUAUCAACCAAUGAGAGAUGUGGGCCGUGCAUGCUUUCAAUGACUUGAGACUACCAAACAUGACAUGCAGUGUUUAGUUCAUUGCAUGUAAUCCUAUUAGUACUCUAGUUAGCAAAAAAACAUUAAGUUCUCUCGCCGAUACGAGUAAAACACCAUGUAUUUAUUUACAGAGGGAGUAGUACAUUUUUUGUGACAUGCAUUACUAGAUAUUGCUAGUCAAAUACUAAAAUUCAGAUGGGCGUGGUAGUACUCCUAAAUCCAGAUGGUGGUGCUACUAGUACUUGUAGUAGUACUACCAAUGUAGUAGUAGGAGUACUAGCACUGUACUACCCGUUGGUCAAAUUAUUACGUGCUGCUCCUCACAGUGAAGUGACAAGACCCUGCGCCGGAGAUGACACCUGAGUAUAGGCGCCGUGUUCGGCAUACCAUAGUCAGCCUCACCGUCUGCAGUCACUAUCAUCAUGGCUGUAGAGCUAGCCUGCUUACAACUAGCCCUGUUCGACAUAAUUUCCCGUGCGUAGAUGCCCGUGCAUUGCACGCAACACCAAGAUUGGGGGUGGACGGCUACGGCAGUGGCCAUCGCGCUAGAUUUUUCCAUGGCCUUUUAGAUGUGGUGAGGAGGAGAUAAGGCUGAUUGUGAGAGACAAGGAGUUGUUUGUAAAUAGGGAACAAGUGCGGGCAUCUUUUUGCAACAAUGGAGAAGCUUGGUUUGUAUGCGUCAGAUCUAGAUCCGACGGCUACUGGUGAAAGAUGGGAGGCACAACAUCAUCACCAACUCAGGACCUAUUUCAUUCGCAGGAUUUUGAAAACACAGGAAUAGGACACGGCAAUAUUACAAGUUUCAAACUGAUAUUACAAAUGUUAGGAGUAAUGCUGCACCUACGAAGAGGGAAUUACUAGGAAGUUUACGUAAGAACUUUCGUUACUUUAGGUGGAUGCAGCAUUAUCGUACGAACUAAAAUCCACCGCCCUGACAAGUCACUAAUGGGAAAAUAAGUUCUCGAGUCUCUGGCCACUUGAUGUUUCAAAAACAAAUUCAGCUUCUGUGGAGACUUUGUCAUUUAGGCUUAGAUGCUUGCGGUGAUCAGCAUGCCAUUCAUUGUUGCGCCAGAGAACGCCAAACCUCAUUACCUUGAGCACACUUGCCUCCAGAACAAAGAACCUGGCCAAUUUAAUCUCAGAUGUGCUGCUCGGUAGUCGAUCAAAUCAAUUUCUGUAAGAUGGAGAUCAAGGCAUUCGAUGAGAUUAUUAUAGUGCAGCACAUUUUUCACUUUCGGGUCUUUUUUUAUCUGCAAAAGAAGAGAACAUGUUAGAGCAGCUGGCUGCAUAAGAUUGUCGUGUCAUCAAGAGGUACCAAUAUCAUUCGCUCAUACGAUAGGGUUGACUGUCUAGUGAUCUCUCUCUCUCUCUCUCUCUCUCUCUCUCUCUCUCUCUCUCUCUCUCUCUUUCUGUUUCCUCUCAUUUUAACUAGGAGCACGUGAAGAGCUUGGGCAUUUGUUGCCUUCCACUAUGUGGCCGAUGCCAUAUUUCGCAAAAGUAUUCCACAUAAUACGCAUCGAUGUCAAAUAAAAAGAUUUUGGCAUUGCUCUUGUGAUGUGAGAGAGUUGCCACCGCUGUGCACACAGACCCACAUGUAUAAACAAAUCAAUCAAACCAACUACACCAGCCUCUCACUCUCCCAAACAAGUGUUUUUAUUGCCUCGGUCCUCUCUCUCUCCUAUGCAGUGUUUUUUCAUUGCGUGAGUUAAUUUGGCACCGGAGCAAAGUAGGUGAUCCAGAUUGGGGCACCAGGUGAGCAAUGGAGGGGCAUCGAUGCUAAAUGCAUCACAAGUGAAUUUGGCACAUGUUUUGGCCUACAUAGCCCACUUUUGUACUCCCUCCGUCCCAAAAUUCUUGUCUUAAAUUUGUCUAAAUACGGAUGUAUCUAGUUACAUUUUAGUGUUAGAUACAUGUGUAUCUAAACAAAUGUAAGACAAGAAUUUUGGGACGGAGGGAAUACUACCUCGUAUUUAGUAUAAAAUUUUGACCAUAGAUUUACCUAAGAAAAUGCCAAUGCAUGUCACCAAAAAUUACACCAUUUAAAAUUAUGUUCAAAUACGAAUCCAACGAUAUAGUUCUUAGUGACAUGCAAUAACAUUUUGUCAGUUAAAUCUAUGGUCAAAUUUUGAUACUACAAAAUUGGAAGAGUAAACCAGGAGGGAGGUACUUGCUCUUAGGGUAACCAUAAAGUUACUGGAGUAGUCUAAGUUACUUUCCACUAUGACUAGCCUAGGCUACUAUAGUAGUAUAGCAUAAAAACGAUGCAGGUGAUCACGUGAGAAAAAAUACUAAAAACAUUUCUUUCGGUGCAGUGCAUAGAUGCAGUUUUGAACACUACACUUGUCAUCGUAAUUUGGGAAAAUUACGAAAAAGUUGAGCUACUUGUGAUUACCGUUUACUUAUAGAAAGAAGUUUCGGCUCGAUGAGUAGCUUCUCCAUGCACGGAAAGCAUGUAAGGAAUCCAACAACUUGAUCCAGAUUGGGGCCGAUAGAUUUUAGUGCUAAGAUCUUCACUGUGCGCAUGGACUGGGUCAAGCUUGUGGGAAUCAUUUUCUGGAAGACGGUCGUAAAUACACCAAGAAGAAAUUUAAAAAUGUGAAUUUCAAGAAGACGGAGAAGAAGAUGAGUGUUGUACCUGAACAAUUACGGAUCCAAUAAAGAGUUUGGAGAAUUUGGCAGAUGAGUACACCAAUGCUGUCAAUUUCGGCGCGUCAAUGACCCUGAUUUUUGUUGGACCUUCUAGAUCCGAUACAAGCAAUCUCUCAAGGAAAGGCGCAUUCUCAAUGACCAUAACGUGGAACAGUUGGAGUGAUCUCUUCCCAAUUGAUGUCUUGUUAUGGGGCCAGCAAUACACAGAAAUCCUUCGGAGAUUCGUCGAGGCGAUGUGGAGGCUAAUGAACCCGUGGAUCUGCUCAAGAUGGAGGUACUCGAGCGCAGUACAGCUGCGGAGCAGGUGCUCCAUAGCCUUCUUUGAGAUGACAACAUCGAAGAGGUCGAGCUGCUUGAGUUGAGGGAGAAGAAGGGCGGGCGCGGCAUUAAUCUGGGGAAGAUAGCAGGAGCUGAAGCUGGCGCGGCGCAGUGUUGGCGUGAGGUAGAGCGCGGACGGUGGCAGAGAGCGACAUCGUCCAGCUUCAAAGCUGAGCUCCUCGAGCUGAUCUAGGGCGGGGGAUAAGAACCACUCGUCGAACUUGGGUUGGACCUUGCAGUUGGUACUGAACAUGCGGAUGUCAAGGCGUCUAGCUGGCCCAGGGUGCGAUGAAAGGAUCUUGGAGACUGCGGCCAUGCGUUUGCAAUCCCCGUCGUAGAGGCAGUUGUCGACGGUGAGGUUGAGGGGGACGUAGCGCCAAAGGGGGCGCCACCGCCGGGAGAGCAGGGCGGUCCGCACGGCAGAUUUGGUGGGGAGGAGGCCGAUGAUGACGAGCAGCAUGUCGUCGGGGAGGCUGCUGAUGAAGUCCAGGCUCGUCGGAUGCGGUUUUGGCUCGAGCCGCCUCCGCUUGUUGGCUACCUCGCCAUCCAUCUCAACCGGCGGUGACGCUAGUGUACACGUGUGCUGGUGUGUGUUGUGUGCUGGGUGUGCGCGAGUGCGUCCUUCUGUGCAUGCUGCCGUGCAGUGGUGAAUUGUGCGCGAGUGCAUCCUUCGCGCGCAAGAAGUUUGUCCUCAAUGCGCCCUCAAUUUACUAGCGUGCGGGGUGCUACUCCGAGUGGUUUCAACUUUGUUUACUUCACCGCGUGUCAGAUGGGCCUCUAGUUUACUUAUUUUCACCCACUACCACAUGGGCCAGCACACGAAGAUACAGAACACAAGCUGACAAGGCAACAUGUGGAUUGGUUGACCGGUCAACUAAACAAUAUACAGAGCUAUACGCUGACACAAUGAGCGUAUAAUCCGUCGGUAUAGAGAGUUCGAGUGAGAGGGGAGGCCCGUGAGAGAUAGCAGAGAGAGAGAAAGAGCUACUCCCUCCGUUCGAUAAUGUAGUUCCAACAUUUUUUUAAGUCAAACUUUUGAAACUUUGACCAAGUUUAUAAAGAAAUUACUUAUAUCUACAAUACCAAAGAUAAAUGAUAGUAUGAAGUAAGUACGUGUUGUGAUGAAUCUAAUGAUCGUUCUAGAUGUAAAUGUUUUUCUCCACAUAUACCUAGUCAAAGUUUUCUGAGGUUUGACUUUUCAAAACAUCCAUAUGCUUAUGGACGUGACAGAGUCCCUCAUGCGGAGCAUCCUUCCAUCAUCCUCAUGGACUCUACACCGACACAUCCAACCCCACGAGGACCCAUGACAAGAGCUAGAGCACGUGCUUUGGAAACCGAGGUGAACUCCUUCCUACUAGACUUGCAUAUGGACGAAUGGAACAUGUUUACUACCUCACCAAAAUAUGCUAUGCAUCCUUAGGUAUGAAGAGGAACAUCACCAAGAAGCUCAGGAGCAUCACCAAGGAGAAGGAGGACCACCGAAAGGUCGUGCGAACCAAGAAGAAGUACAACAGUAGCAGCACAGGAUGCUCCAGGCGACCCCGUGCGCACGUGUAACGCCCCGGAUCCGAUGCGCCAGGUGACCGCCAGUUAUUCGCCGUAGUUGCCAUGUCAGUUGCUUGCGUGUUGCAUUUUUCCAUGUCAUAAUUUGCAUUGUGUCAUCAUGUGCAUUGCAUUGCAUACGUGUUCGUCUAAUGCAUCCGAGCAUUUUCCCCGUUGUCCGUUUUGCAAUCCGGCACUCCUAUGCCCUCCAGCGUUCCCCUUUUGUCUGUCAUUGUGAGCGAGUGAUUAAACUUUCUCGGAAUGGCCCGAGGUUUGCCAAGCGGCCUUGGUUUAGCACCGGUCGACCGCCUGUCAAGUUUCGUGCCAUUUGGAGGUCGUUUGAUACUCCAACGAUUAACCACGUAGCCCGAAACCUCCCUUUCUCUUUGCAGCCCAACACCUUUCCAAAGUGGCCCAAAACCCAUCCAAACCCCCUCCAUGCUCUCGGUCGCUCGAUCACGAUCGCGUGGCCGAAAACCGCUCCUCAUUUGGACUCUCCUAGCUCCUAGAAACUAUAAAUAUGCCCUCCCCGUCCAAAUUCGCGGACGAAACCCUAGCCUAAUCCUCCCCGCCGCCACCGGACACGUCUGGCCGCAACCGGACAUGUCCGCCCGUCGCCCCCGGCCAAUCCCACCUCGCCAUGUCGCUCCCGCCGCCAUCUCCGCCGCCAGGGCCCGCGCGGCCCAGAUCUGGCCUGCGGGGNNNNNNNNNNNNNNNNNNNNNNNNNNNNNNNNNNNNNNNNNNNNNNNNNNNNNNNNNNNNNNNNNNNNNNNNNNNNNNNNNNNNNNNNNNNNNNNNNNNNNNNNNNNNNNNNNNNNNNNNNNNNNNNNNNNNNNNNNNNNNNNNNNNNNNNNNNNNNNNNNNNNNNNNNNNNNNNNNNNNNNNNNNNNNNNNNNNNNNNNNNNNNNNNNNNNNNNNNNNNNNNNNNNNNNNNNNNNNNNNNNNNNNNNNNNNNNNNNNNNNNNNNNNNNNNNNNNNNNNNNNNNNNNNNNNNNNNNNNNNNNNNNNNNNNNNNNNNNNNNNNNNNNNNNNNNNNNNNNNNNNNNNNNNNNNNNNNNNNNNNNNNNNNNNNNNNNNNNNNNNNNNNNNNNNNNNNNNNNNNNNNNNNNNNNNNNNNNNNNNNNNNNNNNNNNNNNNNNNNNNNNNNNNNNNNNNNNNNNNNNNNGGCGCCCGUGCCCCGCUCGGCGCCCUCCGUCGCUGCCGCGCCGGAUCCAGCCGGAUCCGGCCAGACCAGCCGUCCCUGCCCCGACCCCGGCCACCGGAGCUCUCCCUCGCCUUCCCCGCUGCUCCGGCCGCCGCCUCCUCCAACUCCGGCGAACCCCGAUCCAGAUCUGAGAAGAACGAGGUUGACCCCAGUUUCACUAAGUCCCCGAAGUAUUUUGACAUUAUCAUGCCAUGUUCAUCGCAUCAUAUCUCUGCAUCCGUAGCUCCGUUUUGUGUGUGUAAUAUGUCAAAUUGUUCGUCUCAAUGAGUACUUCAUUUUGUUCCAUUGCAUCAUGUUCAUUUGAGCUCAUCUUGGUGCCUGAAUCAUUGUUGCAAGAGUGCUAUAUGAUGUUGUCUGUUGUCUGUUAACAGAACAUGCUCAUUUGUCAUUUUUGCCAUGAUUGAUGUGUGCAUCCUAUGAGGUUGAUGUCUACAUGUGUUUUGAACUAUGCCACGCCAUCUUUACAGUGGUGUAUGCCAUGUAUUUUUGUGAUCAAUGUGGUGACUAGAACAAGCAUGUAAAGUAGGCUUCGUGAUGUUGCUGAUUUUAGUCCCUGUUCUGCUAUUAUUUUGAUGCCAUGUAAACAUGAUGCUACAGAGAGAUCCAUGCAUAUUUUGAGAUACUUCGGUAAGGAUGUUUUGAGCAUAUGGUUUUUUUCUAUCCAUUCAUGCCCCUGUUUGCAAUUAUGGAGUAGUCUAGCAUGUCAUUUUCGUGCUCUACUUUUGCUACAAAAUAUUUCCUGGCAAAUUGUUUACAUGUUAUUCAAUUUUGCCAAGGUUGUUGUAGUUGAUCCUUGCAUGCUAUGAACUUGCUCUUGCCAUGCUUAGCUUCACAAACAUGUCUUCUUACUAUUGGUUGCCUUGCCAUGCCAUGUAAUGCUCUGUGGUGAGUGGUACAAGCUCACCAACAUGCCUACUUAUUGUUGUUUCUGCCAUGUCCUGUUUGCUGAAUCUGUUAACGAAACUUGCUGUGUUUACAUGGGUGCCAUCUUUUCUUCUGAUCCUUUUUGGCUCAUGGUCAGUAAGGGACUUUUGUUCUAUGCAAUUAGUAGAUUCAUGCCAUGCCUUUCUUUGCCAUGAUAAGUUCAUGUAACAUGUUGUUUGAUAGCUCUGAACAUUGCAACCUGAUGUUAUUUUGUGCAAAAUCUGAACUGUUAUUAUUUGCAAACUUGCCAUGUGUGUUUGAGCAUGUGCUAGUGAUUUCUGGAGAUAGCUCAGUGUUCAUGUUUUGUUAUGCUUUACCUGUACAUCAUGCCCAUGUCUUUUGUUUUCAUGUUGAGAUGCGGUAGCAUAUUGUUUUGAUGCUUGCAAUAUGCCUAGUUGCUGUUUUGGACAGAUUGUUGCCAUAUGUUGUAUAGUGUGUGUGUUGAACCGUUGCUCCGUUUUGAGUGUGCUCUAUAUGAAACUUGCUUAGAAUUGCAUGUAGUUUCAUAUUAUCAUGUUGCAUCCUUGUUUUGAGGUGUUUGCUUGAUGUUUGGGUGCAUUUUGCAUCAAUGCCAUGUUUGACUUGUUUUGCUCAUAUCUUCUAGGCCGUAGCUCCGAAUUAAAUGAAUUCUAUAUGUAACUUGACUAGAAUCUCGUGUAGAUCAUCUUGAUGCAUCUUAACUUGCUGUUUAACAACUUAAACAUAAGGUUUAUUCAGAUCUGGACCAAUUUCGAAACUUGCAUAUGAGGACUUGCCGAAAUUGUUAUAUGUUGUUUCCGGCCUCAUUUAAACUUGCCUUGAUGUGUUGCUCUUGUUUGCAUCAUCUCUUGCCAUGAGUAGCUUCAUGUAGCUUUUUCAUGCAUCAUACUUGGUUGAGCAUCAUGUCUUGUCUAUGUGUGGUGUGUUUACUAUGUUGUGUGCUUCUUCUCGAUAGUACCUGUUUCAUUGCGAUCGUGAGGAUUCGUUCGCCUACGCUUGGUUCGUCUUCGUGGCUUCAUCUUCUUCAUGGACUCGUUCUUCUUCCUUGCGGGAUUUCAGGCAAGAUGACCGCUACCCUGGAUCUCACUACUAUCAUUGCUAUGCUAGUUGCUUCGUUCUAUCGCUAUGCUGCGUUACCUAUCUUUUGCUCAUCAAGCCUCCCAAAUUGCCAUGAACCUCUAACCUUUGACACCCUUUCUAGCAAACCAUUGUUUGGCUAUGUUACCGCUUUGCUCAGCCCCUCUUAUAGCGUUGUUAGUUGCAGGUGAAGUUGAAGAUUUCUCCAUGGUGGACAGGAUUUUGGUUGGAUAUCACAAUAUCUCUUGUAUUAUUAAUGCAUCUAUAUACUUGGUAAAGGGUGGAAGACUCGGCCUUAUGCCUGGUGUUUUGUUCCACUCUUGCCGCCCUAGUUUCCGUCAUACCGGUGUUAUGUUCCCGGAUUUUGCGUUCCUUACGUGGUUGGGUGAUUUAUGGGACCCCCUUGACAGUUCGCUUUGAAUAAAACUCCUCCAGCAAGGCCCAACCUUGGUUUUACCAUUUGCCUCACCUAGCCCUUUUUCCCUUGGGAGUCGCCCUCUCGAGGGUCAUCUUUAUUUUACCCCCCCCCCGGUCCAGUGCUCGUCGUGAGUGUUGGUCCAACCUGUCAACCAUCGGUGGCCACCAGGGGCAACUCUGGGCUGGCCUACCAGAAGUUUGGACAAUCCAGUGUGCCCUCAGAACGAGAUAUGUGCAGCUCCUAUCAAGAUUUGUCGGCACAUUCAUGCGGCUUUGCUGGUCUUGUUUUACCAUUGUCGAAAUGUCUUGUAAACCGGGAUUCCGAGUCUGAUCGGGUCUUCCUGGGAGAAGGUAUAUCCUUCGUUGAUCGCGAGAGCUUAUCAUGGGCUAAGUUGGGACACCCCUGCAGGGUAUAAUCUUUUGAAAGCCGUGCCUGCGGUUAUAGGCAGAUGGGAAUUUGUUAAUGUACGGUUGUAGAUAACUUGACACCAGAUCCGAUUUAAAACGCAUCAACUGCGUGUGUAGUCGUGAUGGUCUCUUUUUGGUGGAGUCCGGGAAGUGAACACAGUUUUGGGUUAUGUUUGACGUAAGUAGGAGUUCAGGAUCACUUCUUGAUCAUUGCUAGCUUCACGAACGUUCCGCUUGCUCUCUUCCCGCUCUUAUUUGCGUAUGUUAGCCACCAUAUAUGCUUAGUCGCUGCUGCAACCUCACCACUUUACCCCUUCCUUUCCCUUUAAGCUUUGCUAGUCUUGAUACCCAUGGUAAUGGGAUUGCUGAGUCCUCGUGGCUCACAGAUUACUACAACAACAGUUGCAGGUACAGGUUUCGCGAUGAUCAUGACGCGAGAGCAAUGCUUGCUUGUCUUGAGUUUUUCUUCUGCUUCUUCUUUGAUCAGGGGAUAGGUUCCAGGUCGGCAGCCUGGGUUAGCAGGGUGGAUGUCAUUUGAGUUUCUGUUUGUGUUUCAUCUAUAGUCGGAUGAUGCUCUUAUGUAUUAUGAUGUUGUAUUCAUGUGGCAUUGUAUGCCUCUUGUAUGUAUCCCCAUCUAUUAUGUAAUGUUGAUGUAAUGAUAUCCACCUUGCAAAAGUGUUUCAAUAUGCGGGUCUAUCCUUGGUGGGACCUUCGAGUUCCUUUUGGAUAGGGUCGCAUAUUGGGCGUGAUAGCACGGGCCCCCAAGACCCCGUGUCUGAUGUCUACUACACAACCUUCUUCUUGUAGACGUUGUUGGGCCUACAAGUGCACAGGUUUGUAGGACAGUAGCAAAUUUCCCUCAAGUGGAUGACCUAAGGUUUAUCAAUCUGUAGGAGGCGUAGGAUGAAGAUGGUCUCUCUCAAGCAACCCUGCAACCAAAUAACAAAGAGUCUCUUGUGUUCCCAACACACCCAAUACAAUGGUAAAUUGUAUAGGUGCACUAGUUCGGCGAAGAGAUGGUGAUACAAGUGCAAAAUAGAUGGUAGAUAUAGGUUUUUGUAAUCUGAAAUAAUAAAAACAGCAAGGUAACUAAUGAUAAAAGUGAGCGUAAACGGUAUUGCAAUGAUAGGAAACAAGGCCUAGGGUUCAUACUUUCACUUAGUGCAAGUUCUCUCAACAAUAAUAACAUUGAUAGAUAAUAUAACAAGCCCUCAACAUGCAACAAAGAGUCACUCCAUAGCCACUAAUAGCGGAGAACAAACGUAGAGAUUAUGGUAGGGUACGAAACCACCUCAAAGUUAUUCUUUCGGAUCAAUCUAUAAAAGAGUUCGUACUAGAAUAACACCUUAAGAUACAAAACAACCAAAACCCUAAUGUCACCUAGAUACUCCAUUGUCACCUCAAGUAUCCGUGGGCAUGAUUAUACGAUAUGCAUCACACAAUCUCAGAUUCAUCCAACCAACACAAAGUACUUCAAGGAGUGCCCCAAAGUUUCUAUCGGAGAGUCAAGAACGUGUGCCAACCCCUAUGCAUAGGUUCCCAAUGUCAUGAAACCCGCAAGUUGAUCACCAAAACAUACAUCAAGUGGCACAUGAUAUCCCAUUGUCACCAUAGAUAAUCACGGCAAGACAUACAUCAAGUGUUCUCAUAAAAGACUCAAUCCGAUAAGAUAACUUCAAAGGGGAAACUCAAUUCAUCACAAGAGAGUAGAGGGGGAGAAACAUCAUAAGAUCCAACUACAAUAGAAAAGCUCAGGAUACAUCAAGAUCGUGCCAUAGAGGGAACACGAGAGAGAGAGAGAGAGAUCAAACACAUAGCUAAUGGUACAUACCCUUAGCCCCGAGGGUGGACUACUCCCUCCUCGUCAUGGAUAGCGCCGGGAUGAUGAAGAUGGCCACCGGUGAUGGGAUCCCCCUCCGGCAGGGUGCCGGGAAGGGCUCCCGAGAGGUUUUUGGUGGCUACAGAGGCUUGCGGCGGCGGAACUCCCGAUCAUUCUUCUGUUCUGGAAGUUUUAGGGUACGUAGGUAUAUAUGGGUGAAAGGAGUACGUUGGUGGACCGAAGGAGGGGGCACGAGGCAGCGGGGCGCGCCCCAAGGGGGUGGGCGCGCCCCCCCACCCUCGUGGGCACCUUCCUUCUUCCUUGAUGUGCACUCCAAGUCCAUCGGGUGGCUUUCCUUCCAAAAAUAACUUCUCUAGUUGAUUUCGUUCCAUUUUGACUCCGUCUGAUAUUCCUUUUCCUCGAAACACUGAAAUAGGCAUAAAACAUCAAAUCUGGGUUGGGCCUCCGGUUAAUAGGUUAGUCCCAAAAAUAAUAUAAAAGUGGAUAAUAAAGCCCAAUAUUGCCUAAAACAGUAGAUAAAGUAGCAUGGAGCAAUCAAAAAUUAUAGAUAUGUUGGAGACGUAUCAAGCAUCCCCAAGCUUAAUUCCUGCUCGUCCUCGAGUAGGUAAAUGAUAAAAAAGAAUUUUUGAUGCGGAGUGAUACUUUGGCAUAAUUUCAAUGUAAAUCUUCUUAAUUGUGGUAUGAAUAUUCAGAUCUGAAAGAUUCAAGACAAAAGUUCAUAUUGACAUAAAAAUAAUAAUACUUCAAGCAUACUAAUCAAAGCAAUCAUGUCUUCUCAAAAUAGCAUGACAAAAGAAAGUUCAUCCCUACAAAAUCAUAUAGUUAGGCUAUGCUUCAUUUUUGUCACACAAAGAUGUUCCCAACUUCUAUACCCUCGAUGACAAGCCAAGCAAUUGUUUCAUACUUAAAUAAUCUCAAACUUUUUCAACCUUCAUGCAAUACAUGAGCGUGAGCCAUGGAUAUAGCACUAUGGGUGGAAUAGAAUAUGAUGGUGGGGAUUGUGUGGAGAAGACAAAAAAGGAGAAAGUCUCACAUUGACGAGGAUAAUCAACGGGCUAUGGAGAUGCCCAUUAAUUGGUGUCAACAUGAGGAGUAGGGAUUGCCAUGCAACGGAUGCACUAGAGCUAUGAAUGCUCAACAAAAGAAAACUAGUGGUUGUGCAUCCAACUCGCUUGCUCAUGAAGACCUAGGGCAUUUUAGGAAGUCCAUCGUAGGAAUAUACAAGCCAAGUUCUAUAAUGAAAAAUUUCCACUAGUAUAAAAAGACAACUUAUGAGACUCACUACAUGAAGAACAAGGUGCUACUUUGAAGCACAAGAUAUGAGACUCACUACAUGAAGAACAAGGUGCUACUUUGAAGCACAAGUGUGGAAAAAGAGAUAGUAGCAUUGCCCUUUUUAUUUAUUUUCUUUUUUUUGGGCCUUCCUUUUUUCUUUUGGCCUUUCUCUUUUCCUUUUUUUUGGGCAAUGCUCUAAUAAUGAUGAUCAUCACACUUCUAUUGAUUACAACAUAAGGAUUACAACUCGAAACUUAGGACAAGAUAUGACUCUAUAUGAAUGCCUCCGGUGGUGUACCGGGAUGGUGCAAUGAAUCAAGAGUGACAUGUAUGAAAAAUAAUGCAUGGUGGAUUUGCCACAAAUACGAUGUCAACUACAUGAUCAUGCAAUGGCAAUAUGACAAAAGUAAAGUAUGUCAUGAUGAUGAUGAUGGAAGUUGCAUGGAAAUAUAUCUCGGAAUGGCUAUGGAAAUGCCAUGAUAGGUAGGUAUGGUGGCUGUUUUGAGGAAGAUAUAAGGAGGUUUAUGUGUGAUAGAGCGUAUCGUAUCACGGGGUUUGGAUGCACCGGCGAAGUUUGCACCAACUCUCAAGGUGAGAAAGGGCAAUGAACGGUACCGAAGAGGCUAGCAAAGGCGGAAAGGUAAAAGUGCGUAUAAUCCAUGGAGUCAAUAUUAGUCAAAAGAACUCAUAUAUUUAUUGCAAAAAUUUAGAAGUCAUCAAAAAUCAAGUACUAUGCGCAUGCUCCUAGGGGGAUAGAUUGGUAGGAAAAGACCAUCGCUCGUCCCCGACCGCCACUCAUAAGGAUGCACAAGCCAGGUACACUUCAUGUUUCAAAUUUGUUACACCACUUUAACCAUACGUGCAUGCUACGGGACUUGCAAACUUCAACACAAGCAUUUCUCAAAUUCACAAUUACUCAACUAGCACGACUUUGAUAUUAUCACCUCCAUAUCUCAAAACAAUUAUCAAGCAUCAAACUUAUCUUAGUAUUCAGCACACUCAUAAGAAUUCUUGCAAAUCUUUUAUGCUUAGCAUAUUAGGAUUUUAAGCAAAUUACCAUGCUAUUUAAGACUCUUAAAAUAAUAUAAGUGAAGCAUGAGAGUUCAUCUAUUUCUUAAAAAUAAAACUACCACCAUGCUCUAAAAGAUAUAAGUGAAGCACUAGAGCAAAUGACAAACUACUCCGAAAGAUAUAAGUGAAGAUCAAUGAGUAGUCGAAUAAUUAUGCAACUAUGUGAAGACUCUCCCAUUUAAUAAUUUCAGAUCUUGAUACUUUAUUCAAACAGCAAGCAAAGCUAAAGAAAACUACAUUGCAAGGAUAGCACAACUCAUGUGAAGAAGCAAAAACUUAGGCUCAACCGAUACUCAACCGAUAGUUGUUGAAGAAGAAAGGUGGGAUGCCUACCGGGGCAUCCCCAAGCUUAGAUGCUUGAGACUUCUUGAAAUAUUAUCUUAGGGUGCCUUGGACAUCCCAAAGCUUGAACUUUUGUGUCUCCUUAAUUCCUCUCAUAUCAUGGUUUCUCUUUUUAUCAAAAGCUUCAUUCACAACAAACUCAACAAGAACUUGUGAGAUAGGUUAGUAUAAACAAUUGCAAAGCCUUAUCAUUUCCUACUGUAACAAAUCACUAAAAUUAUUAUUCAACAUUUAAUACUAAAUGCCUCUGCAUAUUUAAUACUCCUAUCCUCAAAUAGAAUCAUUAAACAGGCAAACAUAUGCAAACAAUGCAAACAUAACAGCAAUCUGCCAAAACAGUACAGUCUGUAAAGAGUGCAAGAGUAUCAAUACUUCCCUAACUCCAAAAAUUAUGAACUAAAAUUCCCACUGUAAUAAAUUUAUCAGAGCUCAAUAUGCAAAAUUAUUCAACAUUAUACCACUCUCUUACUUUUCUAGGGAAUUUUUGCAACAGCGGUAAACUUUCUGUUUUCAAACAGCAACAUGUAUACUAGCAAAAUAAGCAUGGCAAAGGCUAUCCUUGACUUUUUUAUUGAAAAUAAAGAUUCAAAACAUUAAUCUACAUAACAGCAAGCAAAUACUAACAAGAAAAAAUGACGCUCCAAGCAAAACACAUAUCAUGUGGUGAAUAAAAAUAUAGCUCCAAGUAAAGUUACCGAUGGUACGAAGACGAAAGAGGGGAUGCCUUCCGGGGCAUCCCCAAGCUUAGGUUCUUGGUUGUCCUUGAAUAUCUUGGGGUGCCAUGGGAAUCCCCAAGCCUAGGCUCUUUGCCACUCCUUAUUCCAUAGUCCAUCGAAUCUUUACCCAAAACUUGAAAACUUCACAACACAAAACUCAACAGAAAACUCGUAAGCUUCGUUAGUAUAAGAAAAUAAAACCACCACUUAGGUACUGUAAUGAACUCACUCUAAAUUCAUAUUGGUGUAAUAUCUACUGUACUCCAACUUAUCUAUGGCUCAUUCCCUCCGAUACUACUCAUAGAUUCAUCAAAAUAAGCAAACAACACAUAGAAAACAGAAUCUGUCAAAAACAGAACAAUCUGUAGUAAUCUGUAUCAAACGUAUACUUAUGGAGCUCCAAAAAUCCUACCAAAUUAGGAAGUCCUAAGAAAUUUGUGUAGAAAUCCAAAGCAAAAAGAAUCAGAUCAGAAGCACGUUUAUAUGAAUUAAAAAAACUAAUUUACUGGGUGCAAAAGUUUCUGAUUUUCAGCAGGAUCAACACAACUAUCACCGUAAGCCAUCCUAAAGGUCUUACUUGGAACUUUAUUGAAACAAAAGCUAUAAAACAUGAUUACUACAGUAGCAUAAUUAUGUGGACACACAAAAACAGUAAGGAUAAAUAUUGGGUUGUCUCCCAACAAGCGCUUUUCUUUAAUGCCUUUCUAGCUAGGCAUGAUGAUGAUAAUGAUGCUCACAUAAAAGAUAAGAAUUGAAACAUAACGGGAGCAUCUUGAAGCAUAUGACUAGCACUUUUAAGUCUAACCCACUUCCUAUGCAUAGGGAUUUUGUGACCAAACAACUUAUGGGAACAAUAAUCAACAAGCAUAGGAAGGCAAAACAAUCAUAGCUUCAAGAUUUUCAACACAUAGAGAGGAAACUUGACAUUAUUGCAAUUCCUAUAAGCAUAUGUUCCUCCCUCAUAAUAAUUUUCAGUAACAUCAUGAAUGAAUUCAACAAUAUAACCAGCACCUAAAGCAUUCUUUUCAUGAUCUACUAGCAUAGAAAAUUUACUACUCUCCACAUAAGCAAAAUUCUUCUCAUCAAUAGUAGUGGGAGCAAACUCAACAAAACAACUAUCAUGUGAUUGAAAAUUAAGAUCAAGAUGACAAGUUUCAUGGUUAUCAUUAUUCUUUAUAGCAUAUGUGUCAUCACAAUAAUCAUCAUAGAUAGGAGGCAUGCUUUCAUCAUAGUAAAUUUGCUCAUCAAAGCUUGGGGGACAAAAAAUAUUAAACAUAGCUUCCCCAGGCUUGUAGCUUUGCAUAUCAUUAGCAUCAUGGAUAUUCAAGGAAUUCAUACUAACAACAUUGCAAUCAUGCUCAUCAUUCAAAGAUUUAGUGACAAACAUUUUAAUGCAUUCUUCUUCUAACACUUGGGCACAAUAUUCCUUUCGAUCAUACUCACGAAAGAUAUUAAAAAGAUGAAGCCUAUGAGACAAACUUAACUCCAUUUUUUUUAAUUUUCUUUUAUAGACUAACUAGUGCUAAAACAAGAAACAAAAAGAUUCGAUUGCAAGAUCUAAAGAUAUACCUUCAAGCACUCACCUCCCCGGCAACGGUGCCAGAAAAGAGCUUGAUGCCUACUACACAACCUUCUUCUUGUAGACGUUGUUGGGCCUGCAAGUGCACAGGUUUGUAGGACAGUAGCAAAUUUCCCUCAAGUGGAUGACCUAAGGUUUAUCAAUCCGUAGGAGGCAUAGGGUGAAGAUGGUCUCUCUCAAGCAACCCUGCAACCAAUAACAAAGAGUCUCUUGUGUCCCCAACACACCCAAUACAAUGGUAAAUUGUAUAGGUGCACUAGUUCGGCGAAGAGAUGGUGAUACAAGUGCAAAAUAGAUGGUAGAUAUAGGUUUUUGUAAUCUGAAAUAAUAAAAACAGCAAGGUAACUAAUGAUAAAAGUGAGCGUAAACGGUAUUGCAAUGAUAGGAAACAAGGCCUAGGGUUCAUACUUUCACUUAGUGCAAGUUCUCUCAACAAUAAUAACAUAGAUAGAUAAUAUAACAAGCCCUCAACAUGCAACAAAGAGUCACUCCAAAGCCACUAAUAGCGGAGAGCAAACAUAGAGAUUACGGUAGGGUACGAAACCACCUCAAAGUUAUUCUUUCGGAUCAAUCUAUAAAAGAGUUCGUACUAGAAUAACACCUUAAGAUACAAAUCAACCAAAACCCUAAUGUCACCUAGAUACUCCAUUGUCACCUCAAGUAUCCGUGGGCAUGAUUAUAUGAUAUGCAUCACACAAUCUCAGAUUCAUCCAACCAACACAAAGUACUUCAAGGAGUGCCCCAAAGUUUCUAUCGAGGAGUCAAGAACAUGUGCCAACCCCUAUGCAUAGGUUCCCAAUGUCAUGAAACCCGCAAGUUGAUCACCAAAACAUACAUCAAGUGGCACAUGAUAUCCCAUUGUCACCAUAGAUAAUCACGGCAAGGCAUACAUCAAGUGUUCUCAUAAAAGACUCAAUCCGAUAAGAUAACUUCAAAGGGGAAACUCAAUUCAUCACAAGAGAGUAGAGGGGGAGAAACAUCAUAAGAUCCAACUACAAUAGCAAAGCUAGGGAUACAUCAAGAUCGAGCCAUAGAGGGAACACGAGAGAGAACACGAGAGAGAGAGAGAUCAAACACAUAGCUACUGGUACAUACCCUCAGCCCCGAGGGUGGACUACUCCCUCAUCAUCAUGGAUAGCGUCGGGAUGAUGAAGAUGGCCACCGGUGAUGGGAUCCCCCUCUGGCAGGGUGCCGGGAAGGGCUCCCAAGAGGUUUUUGGUGGCUAUAGAGGCUUGCGGUAGCGGAACUCCUGAUCUAUCUUCUGUUCUGGAAGUUUUAGGGUACGUAGGUAUAUAUGGGUGAAAGGAGUACGUCGAUGGACCGAAGGGGGGGCCACGAGGCAGGGGGCGCGCCCCCCCACCCUCGUGGGCACCUCCCUUCUUCCUUGACGUGCACUCCAAGUCCAUCGGGUGGCUUUCCUUCCAAAAAUAACUUCUCCAGUUGAUUUCGUUCCGUUUUGACUCCGUCUGAUAUUCCUUUUCCUCGAAACACUGAAAUAGGCAUAAAACAACAAAUCUGGGUUGAGCCUCCGGUUAAUAGGUUAGUCCCAAAAAUAAUAUAAAAAUGGAUAAUCAAGCCCAAUAUUGCCUAAAACAGUAGAUAAAGUAGCAUGGAGCAAUCAAAAAUUAUAGAUACAUUGGAGACGUAUCAGUGCCCACGGACUACUCAGGAAGUUGGCGCUGGAGCACCCCGUGCGCACGGGCCUGUACCAUGCCCACGGGACCCCCGUGCGCACGGGCCCAACUUACCCCAUGCGCACGGGCCUCCCAGGAUGGCCGGCUGAGAUUGCAUCUUCGGCUCCUCUUCAUCUCCUUCGACCCCAAGGCUAUAUAUUUCGUACCAAGGACCAUGUUUAGGGUUAGCAAAGUAUUAGAUGAGAUAUUUGUGAGCUUUGCUCCUUCACCUUCCCUCUUGGAGGAUCAAGACCCCCUAGGGAAGAAUCCUUGUGGAUUUCAAGACCUCCAUAAGGAGAAGACUACCUUCAAGCCCCCACCUCCUUUGGAUUUGGGAUGAACGUUGCCAUUGUAUCUUUCCUUUGAUUGUGUUUGUGACUUGUGGAUCUUGUGUUGUUACCCUAGUGGAUGUGUAAUCGGGAAUUGUUGGAGUGACUUCCUCUUUGUGUUCUUGUUGUUUCUCUCGUUUUCCCCCUCCAAGUGUGAAAAGAUCCCUCUUAGGGUUCUACCCUACAUCAUCUUGGUAUCAUGAGCCACGUUGAUUCACAUCUUGGAGUCCCUACCUUCCACUUUCUAGCUUGAUUUUGUUGUUUUUCGUCCUAAUCCGAAAAUCCCCACCAAAAAUAGCCCCAAAAUUUUUUUAUUGCAAUUUGUUGAUCUUGUGAGAUUUGGUUGUUUUGAUCCACGAAUUUGGUGUUUGGCAAGUGGAUCUACCCUUCCAUCUUCGUCCCCACCCUUCCACCAUUUGAAUUUGGCCAAAAACUCGAAAAUUACCACGGGAUCGAAGCAGUUCGUCCGCUUACACAUGACCCCAUGCACACGGCCCCCCGAGACCCCGUGCACACGGGACCCCAUGCACACAGACCUCACUUACCCCGUGCGCACGGACUAUCCAGGGAGUUUUGGCCAUUUUCUGUUUUGCCUCAUUUCGUUUCCCCACCACCUCUUGUGUUCUUCCGCACCAUUCCACGUGUUUGUUUGAGUUUUGGGUUGCGGUUUCUCUCGUGUCCUAAGGUGUUUCGGCUACUUAGGCGCGAGUUGGUAUCAUCAUCAUCACCACCAAUCAUCGACUCGGACAACACAUCGGCUUCGACAAGAUCAUCUUCAUCACUAUCGUAAGCAAGGACGGUAACCUUGAUGACGCCUUGUACUCCCUUGCCAUUAACUUGAUCGCUUCGAGUCCUUUUGCGUAGCUUACCCAUCGAGACUAGCUUGUUGAGUAUUGACGGGCCACGCCUUAGUGCACCAUUAGUGUUCCGUCCAUCCCGUGCAUUUACUACUUGUUACCUCGUUGUGUGGCUCGUAUAUCAAGCAUCAUGGCAUAGUCAAAAAAAGCUUUUAAGCAAAAGAGAAGAGAAGCAAAGAGCUUAUAAGCAAUAGCAUCGAGCCUCUUAGCAUACAUGCAUCAUCUUGGUCAUCACAUACAUAAGCAUACUUGGGAUAGUGAGACGAACGGUUUCUCUAUUAGGUUGGUGCACUAGUGUAUCUAGCCCAUUAGUGCAAUCGAGCUAGCGUCUCUCUAGUAUCCGUACGACAAGAGCUUUUCCCAUGUUUGACAUCUUCGAGCUCACCCCUUGGUUGUGCGGAUCCCAUUUAUCUUCCGUGUGUGCGUUCCUCGUGUUAUCUUUGGAGGUUGAUCUAUUUGUCUUACUUGCCAUUUGUGAAUCUUCUCAACUUUAUCAACAUCUUGACUAACAUUUGCUUGAAUUAUUUGUGCCUUUCCUAACCAAGCUCCUCCAUAGACCAUUUACUUGUAGGUGUGAGAAACAAUUCCCGGUACCAAUUCCCCUAUUAUAACAUCACGUGGGAUCGUACUUGUUACAUCCACAAUCUUCGGCAAAGGUAACUUUGGUUUUGUUCUCUCAUUUUCCUACUCACCACCACUUUCAUAUGAUGGAUAGGCCAAGUUCCUCUGCCAACCCACUCUUCAUCGAGCAAGACGACGACAUGUCAUCAUUCGUCACCAAGAGCCACCUCUUUGUUGCACAACGAGCGCUACAUCAAGAGCAACAAGCAAUGAACGACCGCAUCGACAACCUCGCCACCGACUUGCGACUCUCCGAGCAACGUACACGAGACUACUUCGACAACAAGCUCGACAUGCACAAGCAAGAGAACGAUGCAAGAAUGGACGAGAUACGCGCUUUGUUGGUCAACCGGCCUCCUUCAACUUCUUCCUACUCAAGACGGAGCCACUCAAGUCGACACUCCGACGACACCUUCUCCGGCUCAAGUACACCGUCAUCGAACACUCUUCGACGAGCCGCGCAUCAAGACCGUCAUGCAUCUCGCAACCCGCUACACGUCAAGCAUUGACAAGAGCAAGUAGAUGAGCAAGUUCCUCGUACUCACUCAAACCAAGACGCUUUUGCUCAAGCUCAAGAACGACAACGACUAUGAUGCCAAGAGGAAGAACGAGCGCGUCUACACCAAGAGGAACAAGAUGCCGAGGCUCAACGUCUUCAACAACUACAACAAUGUGAAGCGCGAGAUCUUGAGGCGCAACGUGCCCUUCAAGAAUCAAGUCGAGCCAUCGCUAACCGCAAUCGCGAACGGCGAAAUCAAGAAGAAGCCCUUAGAGAAGAUAUCCAAGAGAGGAACUACCAACCACGUGUGCACCGUCGAGUCCCUCAAGCUCCUCCACAAGCUCGUCAAGCUCCACCUCAACCUCAAGUUCAACAAGAGCGAGUUGAUCAUGGACUUCCUUCAUGCCAAGAGCGACACCAAGUGGAACAAGUGCUUCAAGACCCUCCUCCACGCCAAGAGCGACAUCAUGAGGAAUGAACAUUAGAGGACUUUCCAAGGCAAGAGCGAUAUCACAACCGCUAUCAAGAUGAAGAACUCCGCUACGGCAAGCUCAAGUUCACCAUGACAAAGUUCUCCGGAAGCAAUGAUCCCAAAGAAUAUCUCUCUUGGGCAUUGAAGGUGGACAAGAUUUUUCGCCUCCACAACUACGAUGAAGAAAAGAAGAUAGCCAUGGCCUCCCUCGAGUUCUAAGACUACGUCCUCAUUUGGUGGGAACAAGUGAUCGAGCGAUGACAUACAAGAGGCGAACCUCCAAUCACAACUUGGGAAGCCAUGAAGGAAGUCAGGAGAGCCCGCUUUGUGCCUACUCACUACACUCGAGAUCUUUUCGAAAAGUUGCAACUCCUCAAGCAAGGCACCAAGACGGUGGAAGAAUACUACCAAGAAAUGGAGAUUGCCAUGAUAUGAGCCAAUGUCAAGGAAGAUGACGAGCAAACAAUGGCACGCUUCUUGAACAGCCUCAACCACCCAAUCAAGCGGAUCGCCGACUUCCAACCAUACUCCAACCUUCUUGAGCUAGUGCAUCAAGCGACCAAGGCCGAGCGACAAGUACAAGAUGACUUCAAAUACGCCAAGUACUCGUCCAAGACCUACGGUUCCUACUCUCAAGCUCCCGCGACUUCGACACCUCCUACAUCAACUCGAGCACCACCAAGUACCGGUGACAAGUCAAGUUCCAAGCAAGUGGCACCUCCCUCGACUCGUCCUCCGGCAAGCACCUACAAAUCCAAGACUCCUUCAUCUUCGGCGCCCCCCGAUGAUCCCGUCAAGACAAGUUCAAUCAAGUGCUUCACAUGUGGCGGCCGAGGCCACAAGUCCUUCCAAUGCACCAACAAACGAACAAUGAUUUUCAACAAUAACGGCACAUAUGACUCAAUGAGUGAAGAAGAAAUGGAAGCCAUUGAGCACGUGGCCAUGCACCGGCGUGUGAACGAAGAUGAAGAUGACCAAGUCUUUUGCGACAAUGAUUCAAGUCCCUCUCUCGUGGUCUCCAAGGUCUUGACGCUUCAACACCACUGUCGGUGUCAAAACCGGCGGAUCUCGGGUAGGGGGUCCCGAACUGUGCGUCUAGGCGGAUGGUAACAGGAGACAAGGGACACGAUGUUUUUACCCAGGUUCGGGCCCUCUCAAUGGAGGUAAAACCCUACUCCUGCUUGAUUAAUAUUGAUGAUAUAGGUAGUACAAGAGUAGAUCUACCACGAGAUCAGAGAGGCUAAACCCUAGAAGCUAGCCUAUGGUAUGAUUGAUGUUCGUCCUACGGACUAAAACCCUCCGGUUUAUAUAGGCACCGAAGAGGGUUAGGGUUAUACAGAGUCGGUUACAAUGGUAGGAGAUCUACAUAUCCGUAUCGCCAAGCUUGCCUUCCACGCCAAGGAAAGUUCCAUCCAGACACGGGACGAAGUCUUCAAUCUUGUAUCUUCAUAGUCCAGGAGUCCGGCCAAAGGUGAUAGUUCGGCUAUCCGGACACCCCCUAAAUCAGGACUCCCUCAGUAGCCCCUGAACCAGGCUUCAAUGACGAUGAGGCCCGUGCGCAUAUUGUCUUCGGCAUUGCAAGGCAGGUUCCUCCUCCGAAUACUUCAUAGAAGAUUUUGAACACAAGGAUAGUGUCCGGCUCUGCAAAAUAAGUUCCACAUACCCCCGUAGAGAGAAUAAUAUUUACACAAACUCAAUCUGCUGACGUAUUUCAUGGCGCGACAUCACACCACGGCCAAUCCUUUAUUCGAAUUGUUUUUUAUUGUCCCACCUCAGCGUGUUUAGCGAGGCAGUUUCCUUGGCACGUCUUGUCAAAGCAGAGAUCGUGUCCCCUUAUUCCGGGAUUCUCAUCAAUACGGGCGUGGGUAACCCAAUCGUGCCCGUUGGCCCAUCUCCUCUAUCGAAGGCGAGUCCCGAACGGUCACGGGGGAGGCUCUUGGUAUUCAACCUCUUUAUAAAGAGACCAAGGCUCCACUCCUUUCUUUCAAUCUCAAUCGAAUCCGCCCCUCGCCUCGAGUUCCAACACCCAAAGCUCCAGAUUCAGGCGCUUCGGACCUUCGAUCAUGUCCGGCUCUCACCUGCAAGGCUGGUGGAUGCCUUCCUCCGUUACGGAAGAAGACGUGCUAAAGCUAAGAUAUGCCAGGUAUCUAACCGGCGAAAUUUCGCAUAGGCUGCCUGCCCAAGGGCAGGUUAUUCCCACUCCCAAGCCUGGCGGAAGCGUGGUGUUCGCGUCUCACUUUCUUCGGGGGCUAGGCUUCCCGACGGACCCCUUCGUGAGGGGGCUCAUGUUUUAUUAUGGGUUGGAAUUUCAUGACUUGGAUCCGGAGUCCAUCCUCCACAUCUCAUCGUUCAUUGUCGUAUGCGAAGCCUUCCUCCGCAUUACCCCUCACUUCGGAUUGUGGCUCAAGACCUUCAAGGUGGAGCCGAAGAUGAUCAAGGGGCAGCAGGCAGAAUGCGGAGGGGCUGUUAUAAGCAAGAAUGCUGAUGCUCUAUGGCCCGAGGGCUCUUUUCAAUAGGAGCUCAGCCUAUGGCAACAAGAGUGGUUUUACAUCACAGUUCCCAGGGGCACCAAAUGGGUGGCGCCACCUGCCUUUCGCUUGGGUCCUCCACCGCGGCUGGCGUCAUGGGUCAAUAAAGGACUUGACUGGGGGCCGUCCAAGGACGUGCCCCUGUUGCAGGGCCGCAUUCAAGACCUCCUAGAGAGAGAAAUCACUUUGGUCGUAGUAGCGCAGGUCAUGCUGAUUCGUUGCACCCUACCCUGCAAACAUCGCCCCCUCCGUCUGUGGGAAUUUAACCCGGAGGGACCACGAGCUCUCCAACAUUUUAUGGGCGCGAUGCCCGUGGAGAUGUACAAGCUUCUCUUCGGAUCACAAGCGAUGUGUCCGGACUUGACCGAGGACGCAGGUCUGAGCUGCAAUCGCCCUGUAUCCGGACACGCUAUCUCAUAUUUAUCACGAACUUGCCCUUUAAAAGAGUUGUUCCUUGAACAGGAGUGGAUAGCGAAAGCAAAGUUAAUCAGGUGUCCGGCCCCCCUUCCUGAGACCAUGCCGGAUCCCGUGUUAACCAGGAUGCUGGAGGUUGCGCCUUCGGAAGAAGGUGAAGGGGGGAACAAGGAAGCUACCGCCUCCAUGAAGGAGGCUGUCAGGAAAGGAGGGAUCGAGAAUCCCUCCAUCCAAGGGAAGAAGAGGACCGCCUCGGAAGACCCGGAGACCAUGGUAUCAAAGCGGGGGAAGAAAUCUUCGUCAGAGGGUCCUGCGCCGAGAGAUGCCUUGGCCGCAUUGUGCCCUCAAGGGGAUCAGCCCUCCACCGAGCUGUAAGUAAAAAGGGGAGUUUAUUUUAAAAUAAAGGAUAUCCCUGCCCUGGUUCUAAUGAAGACAACCGAAAUUUUACCUUGUAGUUCGGAUCUCAGCCCUUCUCAGCAGAGCUCAUCUUUGGGGGAUCUCCAUCCAGAGAUGAUAGAGAGCAAAACACCUCCCCCCGUCGUACCGUCUUGCGAGGCGGGCGACCCUGAGGUGUCAUCGCGGAGGGUUUCUCCGAGUACGGGGGGCGGAAGGCAGUCGUAUGUCCCCUCAAAGCCCUCCGCGUCCGGCCUUCGAAAAAGGCCAUCGGACAAGUCCGGCACCACCUGGUGUACGGUCGGAGGAGCUGAAGGAUCUGCUCGGGCGAGCGUCUAUCUUAGAAGAUCAUCGUGCGUUAAUGGGUACGGUGAUUAAAAGGAUUUCAUCCGCUGAGAGUGGAUUGCACGAAGCCGUCAGAAGUUUACUGAUAGGCUUUGAGGUACGCAAAAUGAUGUACCUUCUGACAGUUCCGCAUAUAACAUGCGCCCUGUGUAGAUAGUAGCCCCUGAGGCUUGGUGUGUUGUCAAAAAUGACAGCGCACCGAGGAUCAUAAUCCCAGGUAUAACAUGUCGCCUACCUAUGUAGGUGGCGAAGGGUCUGGUGGCUAGCCGGACUAAUGAUUUUUCCGAACUGACGUGGCAACUUGACGUGGCGGAUGCCGACAUCGGGCUUGUCAAUAAGUGACUUGAUGAGUCAGAAGGUAUGCAAUUUCUCCGCGGACACCUGGUAAGGGAGCUUGAUGCCUGUGCCUUACAACAUGUAUGCUUGAUGCAGAUGGUGCCGCUGCCAUGGAGAACCUUCGGGCGGAGCUCGCCCGAGCCAAGGAGUAGGCCAGAAAGAGUGAUGUGGCUGCCUUAAAGGUGGUCGAAGAGCUAAAAGCCGAACAGGCUGCUCACUGCCAAAGCAAGAAGGAAAUGGCCGAGAUGGCCGUGAAGUUAAAGAAUGCUGCCGACCGCUGCAAGCUUCUUGAAAAAGAAGAUCGAGUGUUGCAAGAGGACCUGAAGAAGGCCACUACCGACGCCAAGGAUGCUCGUUCUGUGAUGAGAGCUAUGAAGGAGGAGCUGCGUCAGGCCGUUGUCCCCUUUGUCCCCUUUGGACAUUCUACCUCUUCCUCUACAAGAGCGCACCAACAUGGAUGCGAGUGCACGAGCAAGCUACAUCAAUAAGAUGCAUGAAGAUACAAGGAACACCAUCGAGCGCCAAGUACACCGACUAGAGACCAAGCUCAACGUCAACAAGCAACCCAUGAUCUUCAACAUAGGCGAUCUCGUGUGGCUACACCUUCGCAAGGACCACUUCCCCAACGAACGCAAGUCCAAACUUCUCCCUCGAGCCGAUGGACCCUUCAAGGUGCUAGCAUGCUAAAACGACAACACCUACAAGAUUGAACUCCCACGAGACAAGUACAACGUGAGCGAUAUCUUCAACAUCAAAGACCUCUCGCCUUUCCAUGGUGAUGAAGAUUUUGAUCCGAGGUCGUAUCUUUCCCAAGGGAGGGGAGAUGAUGCGGAGCAUCCUUCCAUCAUCCCCAUGGACUCUACACCGACACAUCCAACCCCACGAGGACCCAUGACAAGAUCUAGAGCACGUGCUUUGGAAACCGAGGUGAACUCCUUCCUACUAGACUUGCAUAUGGACACGAAUGGAACAUGUUUACUACCUCACCAAAAUAUGCUAUGCAUCCUUAGGUAUGAAGAGGAACAUCACCAAGAAGCUUAGGAGCAUCACCAAGUAGAAGGAGGACCACCCCAAGGCCGUGCGAAUGAAGAAGAAGGACAAUAGCAGCAGCAGCACAGGAGGCUCCAGGCGACCCCGUGAGCACGGGCCCCCGAGACCCCAUGCCCACGGACUACUCAGGAAGUUGGCGCUGGAGCACCCCGUGCGCACGGGCCUGUACCGUGCCCACGGGACCCCCGUGCGCACGGGCCCAACUUACCCCAUGCGCAUGGGCCUCCUAGGAUGGCCGGCUGAGAUUGCAUCUUUGGCUCCUCUUCAUCUCCUUCGACCCCAAGGCUAUAUAUUCCGUACCAAGGACCAUGUUUAGGGUUAGCAAAGUAUUAGAUGAGAUAUUUGUGAGCUUUGCUCUUUCACCUUCCCUCUUGGAGGAUCAAGACCCCCUAGGGAAGAAUCCUUGUGGAUUUCAAGACCUCCAUAAGGAGAAGACUACCUUCAAGCCCCCACCUCCUUUGGAUUUGGGAUGAACUUUGCCAUUGUAUCUUUCCUUUGAUUGUGUUUGUGACUUGUGGAUCUUGUGUUGUUACCCUAGUGGAUGUGUAAUCGGGAAUUGUUGGAGUGAUUUCCUCUUUGUGUUCUUGUUGUUUCUCUCCUUUUCCCCCUCCAAGUGUGAAAAGAUCACUCUUAGGGUUCUACCCUACAUCAGUCCCUAACUAGAGAGAGAGAGAGAGUGAAAAAAGUGUGUGUGCGUGUGUGAAAGAGACAUGGACAACACAUGAUAAAAGUAGAGAAAAAGCGUGCGUGUCUUAUGCAAACAUAUCACACAUGCAUCUUCGACAACGGAGGCAAGGUGAGGAGAUAGUGUGUGGUUGUUUGGAACCGAGAGAGAAAGACCCCUAGCACGUGGCCAAGAGGGGUCUGACAAACAAGGGAGAGAGGUCGAGAGAGACGUACGGAGAAAAUGCAGACAUGGGGAGGAGAGAGUGUAUGUUUGUCAUAGAGAGAUCCCCUAGAGAUCGUGAUGGGACUACAUGGGUGGGAGAUCGAGUGACAAGGUGUGUGCGCGAUAGAAGAUGCCCCGAGAGAUAUCGAGAUAGACAUAUGGAUGGAAGGAGACAAUACGUGUGUUCCUGAUGGCUAGUAAGAGAUAGUCAUACUUAGGAGGGGGGAGUGCUUGCGCAUGUGGCCCUGUUUGGAUACUCUAACUCAGUUAGAGGUUAGAGUUAGAUUCUAACCCUGAACUAACCCUGAACUAAGUCUAAGUAAAGAGGUGUUUGGAUGGCAGGGUUAGAUGGAGCGUGGAUACGGCGAGGCACCUUCACGGGCGGUGCGAGAGGUAGGGAGGGGGAGGACGAGAAGCUUCGAGGAAGUGGGGAGGGAUCUGCUGCAGGGAGAGCGAGAGAAAAAAGUGUUUAUUAGUGGUCCCGAGAAGAACUAACCCAAAAAAGCACCUCUUGGAUGGGUUAGUUUUUUUGGAUGGGUUAGAUGCAUCUAACCCAAACUAACCCUCUUGUUUGGAUCUUUUUGGGUUAGUUGACUCCAAACUAACCCAAACUAACUCUAACCCAUGGAUCCAAACAGAGCCUAUGAUGGAGUGAGGGAUUAUGGUACUUUGGGGGGGUGCGUGUCACAUGGAGAGAGAACAAGGACGGAGAGUGUUGGAUGGGUCUAUAUGUAUAGCGCGAGCGAGACAUGUGUAUGUGUGAACCAGGGAGAUAUAAGGCCAGUUUGGCUUGCGUCCUGAGCAUCUUUUGCCUGGCCUGGGGUUGUGGCUGGAUUUCAUGCACGCUUGUUUGGUUGCUACCCUGUGAAAAAGAAAGCCCGCCUGGCCUAGGUUCCCUUGCACUUUAAUUAGCCUGGCUGAACUCCAGACACUGCAAGUAGCCUGGCCCAAGCGACCGAUUUCGAACGCCUGGCCGUGCCUGGUCAUGCGGCCACGAGGCUAACAGCAACAUGGAUGGAUAUUAGCAUUAAAUAAUUGAUGCAUGGAUUGAUUGAUGGGACGUUGAUGCUUUGCCUGGCCCAGGCAUGAACCAAACACUUCAGCACCACACAAGCCUGGCCAAGCAGAAAUAUUUUACAUCUCACGUCCACACCAGGCAGUACCGGCCAUCAAGGCAUGAGAGUCAGGUCACGAACCAAACUGACCAAUAAAGUUUGAGAGAGAUUGAGGAGCCCCGAUAAGGCUGAGUGGUGCGUCAAAUAGCUGAGAGGGGGAAAGAGAUAUUCCAUCCACUCGAUAAUGCAGUGCAUGUAAAUUUUUUAGAAGUCAAACUUUGGAAACUUUGAUCAGGUUUACGCAAAUGUUAUUUAUAUCUACAAUACCAAAGAUACAUCAUACAAAACUACAUCUCAUGGUGAAUCUAAUGGUAUAUGUUUGCCGUACCAAAUGUAAUUCUUUUUCUCCACGUACAUGGUCAAACUUUGUGAUGUUUGACUUUUCAAUAAAUCUAUAUGCUAUGGACCGAGGAGAGUGCCUCAGUCGAGACAGAUCAAGUGUGUGUGAAGGAGAAUGAGUAAGUGUGCAAAAAGAGUAUGUGUGUGAAAGAGAAAGUGACAACAAAUGAUAAAUUAGAGAGAGUGUGUGUUUUUUCGUUUCUUAUGUGAACAUAUCACGCAUGCAUCUCCGAGAUGGAAAAGCAAGGCGAGGAGAUACACGAAGAUAGCUAGUGUGUGAUUGUUUGCAACGGAGAGAGACACCCCUGUAGCACAUGUCCAAUAGAGGUCUGGCCAACAAGGAAAAAAGGUCGAGAGGGACACAUGGGUGUCAUGGAUGCAUGGGGAGGGAGAGAGGGUGUGUUUGUGAUAGAGAGAUCCCCUUGAGAUCGUGAGGGGACUAUAUGGGUGGGAGAUCGAGGGAGUGCGUGCGUGAUAGAAAGAUGCCCCGAGAGAAAUCGAGAUAGACCAUGCACAUGUUUGUGAUGGAGACUAAGAUUAGCUAGUCAUAUACAUAUAGGGGGGCUGUGUGUGCCUACAAUUGAGUGAGAGACCAUCAUACUUGGCUAGCUGGGCAUGGGAUUGUGUGUGUGUGCGUGUGAGAUGGAGAGAGAACGAGGGAGAGAGAUAGAGUUUUAGAUGGGCCUAUCGAGUGCGAGUGAGAUAUGCAUGUGUAUGUGUGACCCAGGUGGAUGGAGAGUUUGAGAGAGGGGGGGAAGAGCUCCGAGACGACAUAGUGGUGCGUGAGAGAGUUACGGGCAAAGAGCCAAGGAAUUUGUGUGUGUACGAUGAGUGCACCCAAGAUAUCUAGCUUGGACUAGCUAGAGUAUCAUACAUAGUGUGCGAGAGAGACCUAUAGAUGGUGUAUAUAUGCAUGCGAACUAGAAAGACCCCCCCCCCACACACACACACACACACAAAGAGAGAGAGAGAGAGAGAGAGAUGGAGAGAAANNNNNNNNNNNNNNNNNNNNNNNNNNNNNNNNNNNNNNNNNNNNNNNNNNNNNNNNNNNNNNNNNNNNNNNNNNNNNNNNNNNNNNNNNNNNNNNNNNNNNNNNNNNNNNNNNNNNNNNNNNNNNNNNNNNNNNNNNNNNNNNNNNNNNNNNNNNNNNNNNNNNNNNNNNNNNNNNNNNNNNNNNNNNNNNNNNNNNNNNNNNNNNNNNNNNNNNNNNNNNNNNNNNNNNNNNNNNNNNNNNNNNNNNNNNNNNNNNNNNNNNNNNNNNNNNNNNNNGAGAGAGAGAGAGAGAGAGAGAGAGAGAGAGAGAGAGAACAGGAGUCCGGGAGAGGGGGAGGUCGCGGUUUAUGCAUCAAAGACUGAUAUAAACCAUGUUUCGGUAUAAACUUGCAUUCAAAUACUUAAAUUAGAGAACAUGUUGUCUGCAAUCCACACAUGAAUGGAUAUAUGCGUAUAUCAAACAAGUUCAUUAAUUUGACUUUCAACAUGCUCAUGGAGUACUAUAAUACUGUACAACAUGCUACUCGAUUGAGGUGUUCAAUUUUGGAUUUAGUUCACUAUUUUGACCUACUGAACGAGCUAUUUCAUUGAAUCGAGAUAUUUCAUUUUGGGUUUGAUUCGCGUUUUUGAGUGGGUCAACUAUUUGUCAUAUAGUAAAUUGCUAGCAAUGAGCAUGUAAAAACACAUUACUCCUGAGCAUCAUCUCUCCAUCUAAAAAAGGAGUGGCAAGCUAAUAUUUCAAAAUUUGAUUCGAAUCGACUUGGUAAGGUAGACGUGGAUGCUCGUUCUCCCAAAAUUUGAACGAACCGUUAAAAAUCCUCUCUGCUCGGUGGAAUUUGCCCGAGCAAAUAAAUGGGAGACGCGAAAUUACCGUCCUAUGUGGGACAUGCAUCAAUUGGCCCGUUGUACAUCAAGGGUAGGUUCGUAACUUCAUCCAAGCGCGCCUUCUCCUCGGCCGAAAUGACAUGUGAUGAAUAAUUCAUAAACCAUGGUCGGCAAAACACGCUCUGCUCGCCCGAAAUAGCUUGCGCCCACUAUUUCAAAACACGCUCUCCUUGCCCGAAAUCACUCGCGCCCACUAUAGUUUAAAACACGCCCUCCUCGCCCGAAAUCGCUCCCGCCCACUAUUUGGGGAGAAGCAAAGUUACUCUACUAUCCCUGACCCUCAGUACACAGACCCAAGCCGAGAAGCCUAUAGGCAAGGGUAGAACUGUAACUCCCCCUCACAUUUCAGAAAAAUGCGUCCAUAAGACAUGGUUCCACUCCCCUCCCAAUCCCCCCCCCCCAUUCAUACCUCGUGGGCGCCAAAUCACCUUCUCNNNNNNNNNNNNNNNNNNNNNNNNNNNNNNNNNNNNNNNNNNNNNNNNNNNNNNNNNNNNNNNNNNNNNNNNNNNNNNNNNNNNNNNNNNNNNNNNNNNNNNNNNNNNNNNNNNNNNNNNNNNNNNNNNNNNNNNNNNNNNNNNNNNNNNNNNNNNNNNNNNNNNNNNNNNNNNNNNNNNNNNNNNNNNNNNNNNNNNNNNNNNNNNNNNNNNNNNNNNNNNNNNNNNNNNNNNNNNNNNNNNNNNNNNNNNNNNNNNNNNUCACCUUCUCCCCGGGAAGCUCCCUUCUCCCGAGCCGUGAAACCUCAGCCCCACCUCCAUGCCGCCCCCCACCACACCAAUUUCACAGCCGCCCUCCUCCCUAAUGCCGGAGACGAUGCCCAAUUGCCGUCGUGCACUGGGUUGUGUGCCUCUUACUUCGUGCUACUGGUGCUGCCUCGACGAUGGCCGCGUGAACCGUACCGGGGCUGAUUCACCCCCGCCGUUAUUCACGGUGCCAGAGCGGCUCCAACUUCAGAUCCGUCCAGAGUCCUGGCGCUGCUUCCGCAUAGCCGUUGACCGUCGCGACAUCACUCUUUCCCUGCCGCCGGUCACCACCGCAACCGCGCCGGCCUCACCGACUCGGCAGCUGGACCUGCCUACCUCACCAUGCCGCCAGAUAGGUCGCACCCUCAUCUCAAAUCACUUUAUUUAGGCAUCAGUUGUCUGAUUUUUUAUUCUGGGCCAAUCGAUUCCCAAUGGGAAGCAGCACCCCUCGAGGCGGUGGAGCUCCUAGGCUGCCGGUUGGCUGGUGUCUAACAUAAGGGUGUGGGGCCGCAAGUUCGCCGCGGAAGCAGCGCUUAGAUGGCUAUAUUUUAGAGUUGGGGUUGAAGGUACUGCCGCCGCCGGAUCUGGAUGACGGGGAGUCUUUGUGGAUUGGCCCGGGGGCGGCGCAACCACGGCAGUGCGGUGGGGCGGGGAGCGGGGAUUUGGCCGGGGCCACAGACGGCGGAGGCAGGCUGCUCUGCCGUUGGUCGCUGGCUCUUCGGGGAAGAUUCCGAACAGUGUCAGCCGGGAGGCACAAGACGGUCAUCAAGCCAUCCGGCGUAGAUCGGACAGUACCAAAAUAAAAUAAAAUGGUGUGACCCCAAUUUAGUCUUCAGUCACCACUCUCGUACCUUGCUGUUGAUCUCUUAGUGUAUUUCUUCAGAUCAAAGAGAUAUGUCGUUCUUAACAUUAUGCGUAUCUGCAUCUUCAGACACACCGUCUUCCGACUCACCAUAGCUGCUCCAACAAGGGAAGCAUACACCAGAAGGGAGCUAUAGUCCCCACUCAACAGUUCCCUGCAUUGAAUGCGCGUGCCUGACAUGGACAGACACAACAACUGCAGGGCCAUCGACAAGUCAGCACAUGAUGCUCACUCCUAUGGAUGGCAGCCAGAUAGGUUGUACCCUCAUCUUACUUGUGUGCAACAUUUAUGGCUUUGUUAUUCAUCUAAGCAUGGAAAAUAGAUCAUCACAUUUCACUGUAUAUUCAUGUUGAUCUCUUACGGGUCUUGUUCAGGAGUUCACGUUGUUCCAUAGUUCAGCUAAGAUACUUGUUCUUUAGGUAAUGUUGUUCCAUAGUUAUCAUCCAUCGGCCAAUGCUAUCCCACAGGCUGGUGAUUAUAGUAUUAUACCACUUCUAUUAUUACCUAUGUUGUUCUUUAAUACUUUUCUGUGCCAUCUAGUUAAUCUCGAGUACAAACGAUACAUAUUCUGUAGCUUUCAUCUGUGUUCUCCGUUUAGUUUAUGAGACCUGUUGUUGCUAGUUAACCCCAGUCCUACUAUUUAUGUCAUCUCCUACAGGCACUCAUUACAUAAAUAUAACUAGUAGUUGUCUUCCAUGCAUGUCAGAUACAAUUGCACACACUGAUAUAUCCACAAGAACCUCACGGGGCAAUGUAAAGGCCAAUAAACUUGAUGUCAAUGAUACCCAAUAUGAUGGAACAUGUAAAGGCAGUUCUUCAGAAGACUUGCAAAAAGAUGAUGAAUCCUCUUCACCCCACAAGGUCCUUGCUCUAACUUGGACUGUGAUAUGGAUACAACAUGCAUAUAAUGUCCUGGAGUGUAUCUACUCUAUUGCAAUGUCAUGUGCUUAGCAUGCUGAUCAUGCAUGUAAAUAUGGCAUGGCUUCCUGUUUUUCAGUAUCUAUUCCAUUCAUGAUAACAUGUUUUCAAAUUCAAGUACUGUCAUUCUACUCUAUCGCAAUGCCAUCUGCUUAUUUGGACAUCAUGCUUCUGAAUAUCUUAUGCAUUGUUAUUCAUCAGUAUGUACUUCAUUUGUCUGCCAUACCAUGUUUUUCACAUUGAAGUGUUGUUCUAGUGCUCUGUUGCAAUGCCAUCUUAUUUUCCCAAUCAUACAUGUGUAUGUUGCCUUAGUUAUUUCUGUACGUAUUCCCCUAGCAUAUAGUUUUACAUUCAACUAGUGUUUUUUUGUUGUGUUGUCCUGUCGUAUCCCUAGCUCUUACACCAUACUCCCUCCGUCCGGAUUACAUGUUGUCGAAAUGGAUAAAAAAGGAUGUAUCUAGAACUGAAAUACACCUAGACCCAUCCAUUUUUUCCGGAUGGAGGGAAUACAUGUCAAUAUGUCAUGCCUUUCUAUUCUUCAGUACCUAUUCCAUCUCUCUAUUGUCGCAUGUUUUAUAAUUAAAGCACCAUUCUUCUACACAAGGCAUGCAAGGGGAAGACGACUAUGUUAGAAUCUGAAAGGUUACAAACAAGGCCUUUGCAAAAGAUCCAAACGCCAGGAUAUAAUAAACCAACUCCAGUUUUUAUAGAUACUGCUCCAGCACAGAGAAACCCAACUCCUACUGAUAAUAAGAAGAUUCCAGUGGCCAAAGAACUAGUCCGCUCCAGUCCAGCAAAAAUAUGUCAACUCAAUUCUAAGAAGCGUGUGCGUAUCCUUGCAUCAUGAAAUUUUAUAGCAUGUUGAUCAUAUUUUCUACAUGUUUCUUACCCAUCUCUCUUUUAGAAAAUAAGCUUAACAGAUAGAAGAAUUUCUGCAAUGGUAUCGUUUAUGAGGAAAGAUUCUUGCAGGAAUUCUCUGUGCUCCAGUGUAGAUGUAAGUACCUGUUGUAUAUCACUAUAUUUUUACAUCAGCAUGUAUUUUGUUAAUCGGCGUGAAUCCAACCUUUAUUUGAUCUAAAUUUAGUUGUAGCAAAAUGUAUGAUUAAAGGCCACAAUGUUGGUUUUUGUAAGGAAAACUGCCUGGUAGUUUUGCAUCCUGAGCUGCAUGAGUGUACUAUCUCAUAUCAGUGGGUUUGAAUACUUUGGUUCUGCAGUGGGUUUUUCAGUGUUUUUUUACUGUGUUGUCCUGUCAUAUCCCUAGCUCUUACAUCAUACUCCCCCUGUCCAGAUUAAAUGUCACAGAAAUGGAUAAAACUCGAUGUAUCUAGAACUGAAAUACGCCUAGACCCAUCCAUUUAUUUCCGGAUGGAGGGAAUACAUGUCAAUAUGUCAUGCCUUUCUAUUCUUCAGUACCUAUUCCAUCUCUGUUGUAGCAUGUUUUAUAACUGAAUCACCAUUCUUCUAUAUAAGGCAUGCAAGGGGAAGACGGCUAUGUUAGAAUCUGAAGGGUUACAAACCAGGUCUUUGCAAAAGAUCCAAACGCCAGGAGAUAAUAAACCAACUCCAUUUUUCAUAGAUACUACUCCAGCAUAGAGAAAUCCAACUCCCAUUGAUAAUAAGCAGAUUCCAGUGGCCAAAGAACUAGUCCUCUCCAGUCCAGCAAAAGAAUGUCAACUCCAUUCUAAGAAGCGUGUGUGUAUCCUCGCACCAUGAAAUUUUAUAGCAUUCUGAUCAUAUUUUCUACAUGUUUCUUACCCAUCUCUCUUGUAGAAAAUAAGGUUAAACGAUAGAAGACUUCCUCCAUUGGGAUCGUACUCGAGGAAAAUAUCUUGCGAGAAUUCUCUGUGCUCCAAUGCUGAUGUAAGUACCUGUUGUAUAUCACUAUAUUUUUACAUCAACAUGUAUUUUGUUAAUCGGCGUGAAUCUAACCUUUAUCUGAUCUAAAAUUAGUUGUGGCAAAAUGUUAAAGGCGCCAAUGUUGAUUUUGUAAGGAAAACUGCCUGGUAGUUUUGCAUACUGAGCUGCAUGAAUGUACUAUCUCAUAUCAUGCACAUUACUGAAUUGUAGUGCUUCUCUGGUUGCCCAUUCAUUCAUUGUGUCAAUGUUGCUUUCGUACUACCUUACCUGGCUGAUGAUAGUUGUGCCAUAUUAUGUUAAUUUGGUGUAGGCUAGUUGCCCAAACGUUCAUUGUGUCAACGUUGCUUUCCUAUUAUCUGACUUGGCCAAUGAUAGCAAUGCUAGUGUGUUAAUUUUGUGCAGGCUGUUGAAGAUAAGAAGACAAACUCUGAAAACAGCAAGUCAACCCCAUUGUUUCUUUCCAGUAAAUCUAGGCUAGGUAAUAUGGCAAUAACUCAUGAUUAAUCUGUUUGGUUCCCGUCCUAAUUUAUGUUAUGAUGCAGUGGUCGAGACACUCUCCACUAUCAAUAAUACAAGCCUGCCAAAAUUGCCAUCUGAAUCUGUUCAGUAUCCUCUGUCUCGAAUGCAAAGGAAUAAAUAUAUGUUUGUGAACCAAUUAAUGGCUGAAUCAAUGAUGGAAAUGGUGGAUGAAUCAGAGGUGCAGAGUCGUGCGACAUAACAACUUAUCAAUGUUUUCAGAGACAAUGUAGCAAAGCAUCAAGAACAUGCCCACAUGCUUAUGGGCGUCAUCUGUGCUGAGGUUGCAGAUUGUGAUGUUGUAGAUGGUUAGGUUCUGCUCAUUUAUUUGCACUGGCAUCAAUCUUUGAUUGCCCAGUGGAUGUAAUUUCCUGUAAUAUAUGCUGGAUGUGCAACGUUAUUCCCUGUAUGCCGUACCUUUGCUUGAUCAGUUUUGGUCCUGUGCAUAAUUGCUCGUCGUAAUGGGCUCAAAUUAUCUAAUUUGGCCUAAAGACAUGUGCGAACUUUAGUGGGCCCAUUAAGUUAAUGGGCCGUUACUAGGCCGAAAGUUAAUGGUCGACCCUCUUACCUCCCGGGUCGUUAACAGGCCGACAUCGAAGCGGGCAACAGGUGGCCCCAAUUUAUUUCACGGGCCGCUAACAGACUGUUACUAAGUUUGGGCUACAUAUGGCCCAACUAUACUCUAGGCCUUUAGCAGGCCGAAAGAGACAGCGGGCUUGUACUGGACCAUGAAGAGCAUGGGCCACUAAGAGGCUGAAAGUCUGGUCGUAUUGUAAAUGGCCCAACUGUGUUGUGGGCCUUUAGCAGGCCGAAAGAGAAACCGGGCUGGUAUUGGACCAUGAAGGGCAUGGGCCGUUAAAAGGCCAAAACUAAGGUCCGACUACAAAUGGCCCAACUCAUUUAUGGGUCGUUAACAGGCCGAAAGGCACACAGGGCCGGGAAUUGGCCCAACACUUAAAUGGGUCACUGAAAGGCCAAAACUCAUGUCCGACUACAAAUUGCCCAACUGAUUUAUGGGCUGUCAACAGGCUGAAAGUGACACCGGGCCAGAAAUUGGCCCAACACUUAAAUGGGCCGCUAAAAGGCUGAAACUCAGGUCUGACUACAAAUGGCCCAUCAGAUUUAUGGGCCAUCAACAGGCUGAAAGACACACCGGGCCGGAAAUUAGCCCAACAUUUAAAUGGGUCGCUAAAAGGCCAAAAGAUGUACAUCCUGAAAAUUGGCCCAUCCAUUAAAUGGGUCGUUAACAGGCCGAAAUCUCAUCGGGCCGAUAUUGAACCCAAAUAUAUAGUGGGCAGUUAACGGGCUUGAACUGACGAUGGGCUGGAAUGGUGUCAAAUCUUUAACGAACCAUUGAUGGGCCGAAUUGGCACAUCUCGUAGGGGCCGUGGGCUUAAAUGGACCUGACACAAGUAGGCCUUAUAUGGGCCGGCCUGCUAAUUUUUACUGGGCCGGCCUUUUUCACCGGAAUGGGCCACUGUUGGGCCGUGCCACGUGUCAACCUAUCAUAGGCGCCUCCUGUCCAAUGAGUGGAUGACAUCUGUUCCAACGGUGAGGCAACACGUCUUUCCUGCGGCCAAUGAUGAUUUUACACGUGGAAAAUCCCCAUUGGUCCGGGCUGUUAAUGGGUUAUCGGAUCCAAAACCGGACCCGAUAGCUUAAUAGCGUUCCAUUACGGUGGAUGCCACGUGUCGGUCACCCUUGAUGAAAGCACUUCUAUGACGCACGAUUUAUUGUCAUGGAAGUGGACACUUCCGUGAUGAUAAUUUUGGUAAUGUCAUGGAAAACUUCUAGCGACAACACAGGUAUGACUAUCUUGAUUCUGUCAUAAAAUCGUCAUGGAUGUACAUGCAUGACAAAAAACGUGAGUUACUGUGACAAACACGUAUCAUCACGGAAGUGUAUUUUUUUGUAGUGCACCUGGGCGCGCCUCAGCCCCCGGGCGCGCCCUAGUGGGUUGUGCUCCCCUCGUAGCACCCCUUGAGGGAGUCCCGGAUUAAGGGAUCCUUGGACAGCCGGACUGUAUACUUGGUCCGGACUGUUGGACUAUAAAGAUACAAGAUAGAAGACUUCGUCCCGUGUCCGGAUGGUACUCUCCUUUGCGUGGAAGGCAAGCUUGGCAAUUCGGAUAUGUAGAUUCCUUUCUAUGUAACCGACUUUGUACAACCCUAGCCCCCUCUGGUGUCUAUAUAAACCGGAGGGUUUAGACUUCUAGGGUUUAGCCACAACAAUCAUAAUCUCAUAGGCUAGGCUUCUAGGGUUUAGCCAUUGCGAUCUCGUGUUAGAUCAACUCUUGUAAUACUCAUAUUCAUCAAGAUCAAUCAAGCAGGAAGUAGGGUAUUACCUCCAUAGAGAGGGCCCGAACCUGGGUAAACAUUGUGUCCUCCGCCUCCUGUUACCAUUAGCCUUAGACGCACAGUUCGAGACCCCCAACACGAGAUCCGCCGGUUUUGACACCGACAUUGGUGCUUUCGUUGAGAGUUCCGCUGCGUCAUCACCAGAAGGCUUGAUGGCUCCAUCAAUCAUCUACAACAACGCAGUCUAGGGGGGAUCUUCCUCCCCGGAUUGAUCUACAUAUUCGGCGGCUUUGCACUGCGGGCCAACUCGCUUGGCCAUCUAGAGCAGAUCGAUAACUACGUCCCUGGCCAUCAGGUCAGAUUUGGAAGCCUGAACUUUGUGGCCGAUAUCUGUGGAGACUUGAUCUUCGAUGGGCUCGAGGCCAUGACGGCUGUUCCCAGCCACCACGAUGAACAUGACCUAGAUCUAUCAUCUGGCCACGCGCAGGAGCUAGCGCAUGUGACCGCCCUGGCCCUAGAGCUGGAGCGGAUUGCGUCAAACGAAGACGGGAAGCUUAACCCCACCACGGAGGCCGCGGACUCAGCGGCGCUCGAGCCGCACAUGGACCCAACAUCGAGCUGGGCUUGUGUCAUCGGAACCUCGGACUCGUCUUCGGCUAUGGGUUCCGGAUCGCGUGCAUCCGCGUACAUCGAUCCUGAUUGGGCGCCGGUCUUGGAGUUCAGCUCCGCGGACUUCUUCCAGCACUCGCCUUUUGGUGACGUGUUAAGCUCAUUAAAAUCCCUCUCCUUGUCAGGGGACUCUCGGCCGAACUAUGUCCGGCUCGAAUGGGAAGUGGACGAUGAAGAACUUUGUUUCCCACCCACCACCCACUUCAUAGCCACUGUCAACGACUUAACCGACAUGCUUGAUUACAACUCUGAAGACAUCGACAGUAUGGACGACGAUGCCGGAGAGGAGCAAGAACCACCACAUACAGGGCAUUGGACAGCCACCUCCUCAUACGACAUAUACAUGGUGGAUACACCCAAAGAAAACAACGGCCACAAUGAAAAUCCAGUCGAGGAUAAACCUCUUGAGACACAGCCAAGGCACCGACGUCAGCGACGCCACUCUAAGUCGUGCCGUAGUAAAAACAGCAAUACCAUCACAAGAGAAAAUAACACUCCGGAUGAUGCCGAAGAUAAUGAAGACCCCGUUGAGCCAACCUCCGAGCAGGAGGAAUGGGAGUAUGGGUGAGUCAGCCCUGGCGAACAGGCCAUGAACGAAGACUCGGAGGAUAGCAACUACCUUCCACUCUCCAAGGAAGAGGGAAGCCUCGGUGCCGAAGAUUUCAUCGUGCCUGAGGAGCCCGCCGAACAGGAACGCUUUAAGCAUCAGCUAAUUGCCACUUCAAGAAGCCUGAAAAAGAAGAAGCAGCAACUUCAAGUUGAUCAAGAUCUGCUCAAUGAAAGAUGGACUGAUGUCCUGGUAGCCGAGGAAUACGGCCUCGAGCGCCCAACCAAAAGCUACCCGAAGUGCAAACUAUUACCAUAGUUCGAUGACGAGGCGCUGGAGCACGUCCUACCAAGGUACAACGCGGCUGACCGACCACCACGUAGCUGGGACAAAGCGGCACCUCGAGCCGAACACCAGCCGCACUGCCUCGCCAAACAAACAUAAAUACAACAGCUCGGGGAUAUACACAUGACCUACGGCGCGACUUGGAAAAUAGAUCAGGUCAGACAAGAUCAAUCUAUGGAUCUCAAGGGCAUGCCCCGAUGCGCGACAAUUGCCAUCCGACUGAAUGUGACAAACAUAAUCACGUCAGGGCCAAAAACCACAGACGAACUCCAUCCGAGCUACGUCACGACUUGGCCCGAUAUAGAGGCGUCGCACACCCCCUUUGCUUCACUGACGAAGUAAUGAGACACGAUUUCCCAGAAGGGUUUAAACCCGUGAACAUCAAAUCAUAUGAUGGCACACAGACCCCACGGUAUGGAUGCAGGACUUUCUUCUCCAUAUUCAUAUGGCCCGCCGUGAUGAUCUUCACGCCAUCAAAUACCUCCCGCUCAAACUCAAGGGACCAGCUAGUUACUGGUUGAACAAUCUGCCCGAAAACUCCAUUGGCAGCUGGGAGGACUUGAAGGACGCCUUCCUCGACAACUUCCAAGGCACAUAUGUCUGACCUCCAGAUGUCGAUGACUUAAGUCACAUAAUCCAACAGCCCAAAGAGUUAGCCAGGAAAUUCUGGACUAGGUUCUUAACUAAAAGGAACCAGAUCGUUGACUGCCCGGACGCCGAAGCCCUAGCGGCCUUUAAGCACAUCAUCCGCAAUGAAUGGCUGGCCACACACCUUGGCCAGGAAAAACCGAAGUCAAUGUUAGCCCUUACGGCACUCAUGACCGGCUUUUGUGCGGGCAAAGAUAGCUGGCUAGCCCGUAGCAACAACAAUAUAAGCGACCCUGGCACUUCCGAAGCCAGAAACAGCAACGGCAAGCCCCGACGCAAUAGACACAAGUGUCGAAACAACAGUGAUAACACCGAAGAAAUGGCGGUCAACGCCGGAUUUAGUGGCUCUAAAUCCAGUCAGCGGAAUUCCAUUUAAGAGAAAUAAUCCGGGCCCGUCCAGUCUGGACCGCAUACUAGAUCGACCAUGCCAAAUCCAUGGCACUCUUUGUAAACCAGCCAAUCAUACCAACAAGGAAUAUUGGGUCUUCAAACAGGCCGGCAAGUUAAACGCCGAGAAUAAGGAGAAAGGGUCGCAAAGCGAUGACGAUGACGAGGAACCCCUACCACUGAACACAGGGGGACAGAAGAAAUGCUUUUCACGUGCGACCUUUUCCUUAGCCGCCCUGUCCUUAGCCUCGGCCGGCGACCUCUUGAGAGCCUCUGCCUCGGUCGUUGCCCCUAACAAAUAUUAUGACACUUUAGUCAGAACAAAUCGUUCAUUACACUUGAAUUUAGACAAGGUUAAAUACAUACCUUUGCUUUCCUCCAGGUGCUUCUUCACGUGGCCGAGCUCCUCCUCGGCCCACUCCAGAUUCUGCUUCAGUCCGGAGACUUCCGCAGUGUGAGCGGUCCCAGCCAGCAGUGAUGCCUGCUUAUUCACCUAGACAUAUCAGAUUAGACUCCUGUGAGAAAUUAUUUGAUCCUCUGUUCGGCUUUUCUUUCCGAACACCGGACAGAGUAUCAGAGGCUACUGUCUAUACUGUGACAUUCUUUUUACAAUUAUACUACUUACCUCAAAGCCUGUUAGAAGGCUAGUGCAGGCUUCGGUCAGUCCGCUUUUGGUGGACUGGAUCUUCUCAAUCAUCGUACUCAUAAGAGUACGGUGUUCUUCAACAAUGGAAGCGCCUCGCUGUGCUUCCCGCAAUCUAUCCGGUGCCUCUGGAUGGACAGAGGUCAUCGGUGGAGUUGGCUCACCCCCCUCUUUUGAAAGAGGCAGCAUGCCUGAGUCCGGAGCCACAUGGGCCUCCGGAGCUGUAUUCGUCUGGGGGCCAAAUUGGAUACGGCCCCCAUCGUCGGUGUCCAUGGGGGUUUGUUCCCCCAUGUGUGCGGAAACCGUGGUUUCACCCUCUGGCGCCACCGGGACGGCCUCCUGAGCCUCUCCCUGGCCUGGGUUCCUUUGAGAAAACACCUCGGUGUUGACCACAGCCUUGGGUGAGGAGGCCGUCGGAAGGGACCCACUGUCCAUUGCCGAUGGGUCCAGCGACCCCUCCGAAGAGGAGGAUAGCUCGAUGUUGGACUGGGCCGGACUGCACAUGAUCUAGCAUGUUAAAAACAAUAAAGUAAAAAGGCCGGUUAUACUACCGUGUCCGGACACUUACGAUUUGGCCAGGGGCUUGUCCCUGGGCUCCCACUCCGAGCUGCUGUUGGUGGACGUUGCGGAGUUGUCCGGAAGGGAAAUUUUCCCCUUCUUGGACGCCUUGGCCUCCAGGUGCGUGGAGGUCGUCCUCUUUUUUCUCCCCCCCCCCCCCUGCAGGGGGGAUGGAAUUCUUCUUCUUCCUCCUCCUCUUCCUCGUCGUCUUCGGCGACGGAGGAGCGAUCCUCGACGUCUUCGGACAUUGCGUCUGAAGCGCCCUUGCGACGGAGACCAUCUCUGGUCCCCUUGGCCUCCUUUUUGGCCUUCUUCUCCGACACCUCAUAAGGCGCCGGAAACAACAUCUUCAUUAGAAGUGGGGUUUCUAGGCCUUCGGGCAGCGGAGCCGGACAGUUAAUCUGCUCUGCUAUUUCUAUCCAAGCCUGAAAAAAUUGAUAGGGAGGCUUAGAUUCCUUCCUCAAAUAAGCCAGUAAAGGGUAUACCUUGAAAACAUGAAAAAACUUACCGGAUUAGCCUGGCGAGUUAAGCUAAGCCCACAGUCCUCGGUCGUGGGCGGUGGUGUCUCAACAGCCUUGAAGAGCACCUUCCAGAUGUCUUCGUGCGUCGUGCCGAAGAGCUCUAGUAGCGUCUGGUGCUUGACCAGAUCGAACUCCCACAAAUAGCAAGUCCGGCGUUGGCACGGAAGGAUCCGGCGAACGAGCACAACCUGGAUCACCUUGACGAGCUUGAUUCUCUUGUUUAUCAUGUUCUGGAUGCACGUCUGGAGCCCUGUCAGCUCAUCCGAAGAGCCCCAGGCCUGGCCUUUCUCUUGCCAAGAGGUGAGCCGCAUCGGGACUCCGGAUCGGAAUGUGAGGACCGCCGCCCAAUUGGUGUUGUGCAGCUCGAUGAUGUAGAACCACCCCGAUUGCCACCCUUCUACGGUCUCCACAAAGGAGCCUUCAGGCCAGGUGACAUUGGGAAUCUUGUCCACCAUGGCACCUCCGCACUCUGCUUGUUGGCCGCUCACCACCUUCGGCUUCACAUUGAAGGUCUUCAGCCAUAGGCCGAAGUGAGGUGGGAUGCGGAGGAAGGCCUCGCACACGACAAUAAAUGGCGAGAUGUUGAGGAUAGAGUUGGGGGCCAAAUCAUUGAAGUCCAGCCCAUAGUAGUACAUCAGUCCGCGGACGAACGGGUGGAGGGGGAAUCCCAGCCCGCAGACGAACUGUGUAAGAAACACCACCCUUUCCUGGGGCUCUGGGGUGGGGACGAUUUGUCCCUUGGCCGGAAGUCAAUAAGAGAUGUCCUUGGCCAGGUACCCGACCUCCCGGAGCUCCUUGAUGUCCUUCUUCUUGACGGAGGAGGCCAUCCACUUGCCUCCUGCUCCAGAUCCGGACAUGAUUGGAGUGCUUUUUUGGGCGGAGAAGGCGAGAGCUUGGGCGCCGGAGCUCGAGAAUAGCUGGGUAGAGGAAGGAGAAGGCGUGGGUAAACAAGGAUGAAUCCUUAUCCCUUUAUAAAGGCAAUAAAAGUCAUGCGCCUCCCUGCUCGCCUUAAAAUCCGCCUAUUCCCCAAGCACUGUGCAGAUGGCAUGGUUGGAUUACCCAUGCCCGUAUUGAUGAGAAUCCCGUGAUAAGGGGACAUGAUCUCCGCUUCGACAAGACGUGCCAAUGAAACCGCACCUCGAAAUACGGAACGGCAGGCUAAAAAACGGUUCGAAUAAUGACCGGGUAGUGGCGUGAUGUCACGCUACAGAAAGUUGUCAGCGGAUUGGACUCGUGAAUAAUUAUACUCUCUACGUCUGUGUGUGGUAUUUGUUUUGCAGAGUUGGACACUUUUUCUAUGUUUGGAGGGCUAUGUUGGAGUAUUCGGAGAAGGAACCCGCCUUGCAAUGCCGAAGACAAUCUGCACGCCGGACUCAUCGUCAUUGAAGCUUGGUUCACGGGCUACUGAGGGAGUCCCAAAUUAGGGGGUCCUUGGAUAGCCGGACUGUAUACUUGGUCUGGACUGUUGGACUAUGAAGAUACAAGAUACAAGGCUUUGUCCCGUGUCCGGAUGGGACUCUCCUUUGCAUGGAAGGCAAGCUUGGCGAUUCGGAUAUGUAGAUUCCUUUCUCUGUAACCAACUUUGUACAACCCUAGCCCCCUCCGGUGUCUAUAUAAACCGGAGGGUUUAGACUUCUAGGGUUUAGUCACAAUAAUCAUAAUCUCAUAGGCUAGGCUUCUAGGGUUUAGCCAUUGCAAUCUCGUGGUAGAUCAACUCUUGUAAUACACAUAUUCAUCAAGAUCAAUCAAGCAGGAAGUAGGGUAUUACCUCCAUAGAGAGGGCCCGAACCUGGGUAAACAUUGUGUCCCCCGCCUCCUGUUACCAUUAGCCUUAGACGCACAGUUCGGGACCCCCUACCCGAGAUCCGCCGGUUUUGACACCGACACCCCUCUGGUACUUUCUUGGCCCAUACGGUGUCUUCUGGUCCAGAAAAAAUCCACAAAAAGCUUCAUUGUGUUUGGACUCUGUUUGGUAUUAAUUUCCUCUGAUGUAAAAAACAAGCAGAAAAAGAGCUAUGAGGCUUUUGCCUUGCAGUAUAUAGUAAAAAAACAAGCAGAAAACAGCAACUGGCACUGGGCACUAUGUCAAUAGGUUAGUACCAAAAAAUGAUAUAAAAUUAUUGUAAAAUGAUUCUAAAACAUCCAAGAAUGAUAACAUAACAACAUGAAACAAUCAAAAAUUAUAGAUACGUUGGAGACGUAUCACACCCCUCCCUCCCUUUCUUCAUCGCCGGUAUAGCCCCUCGACUUCGGUGCAUCUCCCCAUCCCCUCCACUCGUUGCCGGAGUGCCUGUGGCGAUGUGACCAUCUCGGCCAAAGCUGCCGUUUCUCCCUGUGGUUGCCCGUCGCCCUGUGGCCCUCCCCCUGCCGCCUCGAGUGGUCCUACUCGACGCGCUGCUCCGCGGUGAGAACUCUGGUGGCCGGGGCCUCGCUGCAGAUGGCAUGUGCUGCCGGGGGCCAGCGCUGGUAGCGCUCUGCCCCGCCUCUCCUCUGUCCCAAUUGAGAGGAGGAAGAAGGAGCAGGGGAGAACAAAGAGAUGAGUGGGCCCCGCCUGUCAGCCUCUGGCCGUUGACCCAGCCCCGAGCCCGGGCAAACUUAAGUGGAAGCGUAUUCGUGGUAAUACAUUUCCCUUCUAAGAAAGUGUACUUUGGUCCUACUUCGGUUGAGAAUGUGUUUUCUAUAUGCAUAAGGCAUAUUAUAGCGGAAGGCGCUUUCUAUUUGACCAGCCAGGAACUUGUUUGUGAAUAUUGUUUUAUAGACUGGUCACUAGCAUUCAACUGACUAUAUCUCCACUACCGUAACUCCGAUUCAGGUGAUUCAAAAGCCCACGUUCUCUAUUCGUCGAGCCCGUUCUAUUGGUACCAUUUUCACUAUGUUGCCAUAUACUGAAAAUGACCAUUUUCCCCUUGUCCUUAAUCAGCCCCCUCCCGGAGAGAAACUUCUCCCGUGAUUCUUUCCGUGAGCCUCUCGCACUUCUCCCUGAUGGAUCCUUCAUCUCCACGCAAGCCAUGACAGCCACUUGCAUGAUGGCCUUGCAAUACCCAUGGUUUCCACUUGAAUCUUUAAAUAAGUGUGUGCUCAUUAUUUUGGUGAAUGUUAUGCUCGUAUAUUCAUGCUCAUUUAUUAUUUUAUGUCCAUUUUGCAUCUGUUAGUUUAAUGAUUAUUUGAUAAUGUUAUUAUCAUCCUAUUUACAUCCUCAUAAUUAUUUCCAAUGCUAUUGACUAGAUGAUCACAUGAAUAGCUAUCGUUUGUAGAUAAAUCCUUGUGUUAUUUAUUGUAAUCAUCACCAUGCCAUGCUCAGCUCCAUCUAGUAGCUUAAAUGAUUUAUUGUUGUUGAUAUGUUCAAUUGUUCUGCUUCCCAUCUGUGAUCAUGUUGACAUCUUGCUCCUAUGCAUUGUUAUUUCAUCAUGCUAAUUUAUUAUGACUCAGCUCAUCAUCAUUCAAGUUGAAUCUGAUGUUAAUCGAACUUGAACAAGUCUGUUGGCUGAGUCAUAGUGCCAUUGAAUCGAGCUGACCAGUGCAGCCACACUUUCCUUAUGGGGGGGCUGACUUGGUAUAUUGUCAUGCCUCUCGCUGGUGCUUCCAACUAGGGAAGGUUAUGUGCGCACGCUGCCCUGCCCAGUAGGCGGCGAUAACCUUGUGUGCCCCAGUGGUUUGCGCGCUUUUGUCUGUGUUUGGGACCAUUUUUGUUUUGCCACGAUGAUGGCCGACCACGAAGGUGGCAGAUGUCCAGAGUGGCAUCGGGGCCACCAAUGACUUAGCCCGAAGGGGAGUUUGUCAGAGUGGCUGGGAGAAUGGCAUGCAAUAGAUCGGUUUUUUGGAACGUUGUUGGUCCACCCGAAUGGGAGGACGAGGCCUUGGGUUCCAUAGUAUGGGUAUAGUGUACUAACCUCCCCAGAGUGUAUAAUCAAUUGAUAGUCACGCCCGCAGAUAUGGACCCAGUUUGUAGUAGGUCACACUAUGGGUCAAUAGUAAUAAUGACCUGACUAAUAAACAACCCCGGUUCUAUGAGGAGAGAAGUUGGUUGAUCUUUAUGUGAUUGUGAGAGGAUCACAACGGUAUCGUUGGUAGCAAAGUUGGUCGAUCUUUAUGGUGUCAUGUGAUGACCGCGGGUAAAGAUCGAGCUCUUGUGGUCAUGUGAUGAUCACUGUGGUAUUGUUAAUACCAAGCUUGGUUGAUUCUAAGGUGAUCGCGUAACAUCCAUGAGGGUAAGUUGAUACAUGUGGUGGUUACUAGGUAACCUCCGAACAGAGUAAGUUUGUCCAUGAUAUUUGUAAACAUGUUGCAUUCUAGUAUCAUCAUUGUUCACAUCAUGAGUAACAUGUUCGUGCCAUGCUCAUCUGAUAUUGUUCUAGUUGUGUCAUGCUUAUCAUUAAUUAACCAGUAAAUGCCAUGUUGUUGUUUGUCUUGAUUGCUUUGGUUGUUGUGAGCGUGCGAGUACAUUCAAAGUACUCACCUGGUGUGUCAUGCCGUGAUUGCUUCUUGUCAAGGAUCCUGAGUUUGAGAGCUAGGAUAUGCGUUCCAGCCAGAGUCCCUGCGGAGUGGAGUUCAUCACUGUUGUCGUUGUUCCACUGCCGAGAGUUACUGUGCUGCUAUGAGUUGUUCCACUACUACGAUCGUAAAACCGAAGUUCUCGUGAUAUUUGUGUGCUUAAGUAGGCAUGCAUAUUGUUGUGAGUAGCAAUAAAAUGUGAUGUUUCUUGUGUGUAAUAUUGAUGCUUUGUGUGCUUUUAUUUGAGUCGUUCUUUUGCUUCUUUCUUUGGGCCUUCGGUGUCACAUUAAUUCCCCUUAUUAAAGUUUCUCAUCAAAUGACACCAGACUUGUAGAAUCAGCAAGGAUUUCAAAUAUUUGGAAGCUCAGCUAAACAUUAUGGAAUACUCAGCAGACUACAUUAUAUUGGGUAGAUCUGGUUUGAAUACAAAUGAUGUCCUGGGUUGAUUAUCUGCAUCAAGUAUACAUCAGUGUGAAAUCUUCAUAGCAGUAAUGAUGAAAUCAGCAGGAAGACAAAUUGUGUGUAAGACCGACUAUAUAUUUCCAGUCAAAGGAAUGGGUAAUAUAUGAAGUUUGGCUCCAUUUGAGCAUGAUUUGAAACAUGCUAUACCCCAGAACCAAGCCAGAAUAUGCUAUGAAUUCAGUGCUCAGCAAGAAGGACAGUCCGACAGAUCCUUUCAUACAAGUAAUCAACAACAAAAAUAUUAAAGGGUGUAAAUAUGGCAUUCAGUCAACAGAUCACAAGAACAAGCUUCUGGCAUAAGAAAUCCAGUCUUUCUCCGCAAGCUGCCGAAAGAAGCUUACCAUGCAAGAUUCCUCAAUCUUCUCGAGUAUGAUAUGUGGAUGACUUCCCGUGCAAGAUACCCACGCUUCUUCAGUAAGCUACUGCAAAAGCUUCCGGCAUAAGGUACUAAAUCUUCCCCAGCAAGCAACCAGGAGGGGAAGCUUCUGAAGCACGGUACCCAGUCUUCUUUAGCAAGCUGCCCAACAAAGCUUCGAACACAAGCCAUUCAGUCUUCUUCAAUAUGACACUCUCGAUGGCUUACAUCAUAAGCUACCCAACCUCUAUUAGUAUGGCACUACAAAUAGUCAAUGUCACUGGUACAGUAUAUUACAUAGUAAGUUGAUAGCAUAUGGCAGUACAUCCCAACGACUAGAUCAACAACAAUUUUGUCAAAAACAAGAAUCAGUCAGGACACAAGUCUGCCUCAGGAAUCAAAUGCUCAACUACACAUAUAUCCUUAUAUACUUAGAGCAUGAUGACAGGGUCGUGUAAGUCAAUCAUAUAUGGAUGCAAUUAUGUUCAAGCUAAUCCACCAAAAGGAAGGUGAGAAUCCAACGUCGCAUGAUUAAUGCAAGAAGAAGAAAGCCAGUUAUACACCUCAGUGUGAUGCAACGACCAACAAGGUAUGAAGUAAGACAACAUUGGACUUGGCAGUGAUUAUCAAGGCAUGUUUCCUCACAACUGACAAAGUGAUAUCAUUAACCCUUGUCACUGUCUUGUAUGAUUAACGACAACAAUGAGCUCAGUACAAGCACACACGAAACAUGCAUUUAUAUUGUAUGACCUGAGACAUGAAUGAGGAUAAAAUAUGAUUGUCGGGAUGUUACACCUGAUGGUACCUAUGGUCACACGAGGAAGUUAAGGCCAAGUUCUUUUCAGCAAGGAAUCCAGACAAAGAGAACAAAUAAGGAAGGAGCAAGACCGGCAAUACAUGUAUGAUAAUUGUUGCAUAACAAACAUGGUACAGUUACCUAGGACAGUUUGAUUUAGUAUCGAUCACCAUGAAUAUACGCCCAAGGGGUCUACUCCAUUUUGGUAAGGACCUCAUAUCAAAGCAACCCACUCAGCCAACUGAUAUGCUCAGAAUUGUUAGUGAUCCAAGUCGGUCAUGUCAGACCGACGGUUGCCCAGCUAGCUUGAUAGUUGGAUUUUAGCGAUCGUAUUUAAAUAUCACGGCCUACUACCCCAUGUGGGUAUACUGACAGAAUGAAUAAUCAGAAUGUUGAACAAUAGUCUCGAAGCAUGUGCCCUCACAUAUGGGAAUUAGUUAAAGGAUAGCCUACCAUGAACAAGAUUCUUCUACCAUAAUCACCGCCCGUCAAGUCUUGAGAUGCUCUUGUUAUACAGUCGUACUCCUUUAUGCCGGUCAUGAUAGGCAACAGUCAAAUAUUUUGUACGGAUUUGAUACCCAAGACAGUGGAUCUAGCCAAGCCGAUUAAUAAAUCCUUGCGAGAAGUCGGCUUCCGUCAGGAGAAUGGUUAUGAUUCACAACACUGUUUUGAACCCGGAGAACACGCAUUUUUUAGCAAUCCAAGGAGUAAGAUUUGGUGUCCACCAAGAAAAUCGGUUCAUAAAUCCUGGAAUGUUGUUAGUGCUGGGUAUAAGAAUGACACAUCCAUCGGAAACCACUCUCGGACUUGUGAGAAGGGCAUGUAUUACAGUCAUGAUAAUCAAUCGCACCCCAGCUAAGCUGGCAGAUAAAAAGAAUUAGAUUUAGGGUAACAUGCGAGCUAAGGCCUGUCAGAAUGUGGAUACAGUGAAGCAAACCACCCCAGAGCAAGAUAAGCAGUCAUAUGAAAUUCAGUUGGAACAUUGUAUAAAGGAAAAAAGAUACCCGAGUUGGAAAUGGUUUCCGUAAGUUAGAUAUAUUCAUACUUGUUCAGAGAGCAACCAAAUCUCGAGGAGGAGAUUUCUUUUAAGGGGGAGGUUUGUAACACCCUGGUUUUUGGCUCUUUCUUUUUAUUUUGGAUUUAUUUGAAUUUUUGCUUUGAUUCCUUUUUUUGUGGCUCUGUUGUCUUGAAACCUGGGAACAUCAUCUCUUCCUUCUUUCCCAAGUGGCUUGUUAUCUUCACAUCCAUCCCUAGACCAUGUCAUUUCCAUCUUAGCCCUAUCCCAAUAUUUAUUUCUUGGGAAUAUUUUUUAUUAGAGGAAUAAUCCUUUUUGCCCUAGGUUGUGAAGCAACAUAUAUUUCUGUCAUUCCAAAAAUUCCCGCAAAAUUUUCAAAAUUCCUUUCGAUCAUAUGGACCUUGGAUAUGUAAAAAUAUUCAAGAUUGCAUGCUCAUGGUGAGCACACAUCCAAUCUUUGCUUCUGGUCAGAUCUUCAAUUUGUAAAGCAACUAUGUUUUAUAUUGCUCCAUAAUUGCUGAAAAUUUACGAGGACCUUCUCCUACCUAUAAAAUAUCCCUCCACCAAAUUUGGGCUCAUUUUAUUUAUUUGAUAUUUUCCUAGAUUUUUUCUAAGAUUUCUGUCCAGAGAGGACCACUGUGAAGGAAGUACCAUUUUGGCAUGUCCAAAUGGUAUGAAAUUUUUAGAGUGCCUUCAUAUGCCCAAAUGAUCAUCCUCCUUCAAAUUUCAGCUCAAUCCAAUCAUCCAUUUGAGCACAACUUCAACUUUUGUAUUUUUGUCAAGUGGUGUACAUUGUGAAGCAAGUGCUAGCUAAACUCCUUCAUUUGAGCUGAAACCUGGCCUCAGU